rnacentral:lncRNA from 1 species
ACCCUCCUUGAUCAGUACACAACAACUCCUCAUUUCCAACUUUCUCCACUAUUCAAACCCAUGCACAUUUCACACUAUUUUUUAUUUUUCUUUUCUUAUUUCCACUCUAAAUGCCCCCACAUGCAACCAUUUUCAACUUUUGGAGGAUUCAAGUCUCAUUUAUUCAUUUUCUUUCUUUCUUUUUUUCAAAACUUAUUCUUUCUUUAAGACUUCCCAUCCAUUCUUCAAUUUCUCUCUUUUUUUCUUUUUUUUACAUCAAGCCCUCAUGUGGUAAGCAUCCCUUCAAUGAAUUUCACCAUAACAACCCCAACUUAGGCUUUUAGUCUCAACUUUCACAACCUUAAGUUCAAGGAGGGAAUUUUCUUUCUUUCUAUUUCAAAGCUUAUUCUUUCUUUAAGACUCUCCAUCCAUCCUUUAAUUUCUCUCUUCUUUUUUUUCUUUCUUUUUUUACAUCAAGCCCUCAUGUGGUAAGUAUCCCUUUAAUGAAUUUCCCUUAACAACUCCAACUUAGGCUUUUAGCCUCAACUUUCACAACCUUAAGUUCAAGGAAGAAAGGGUUCAAAAGAGGGUUACCUUUUCAAAAACGAUAAGACUUGUAAUGUGGUUACCAAUAAAAAGGAUUAGGCUCAAAGGGGACAACUAAGGAUAUAUUUAGCGCAAAGGUGGGAAUUUUAAGCCAAGUGGACUUCAAGAACAUCAAAGAAAGCCUAAGAUCAUUUGUCCAACCAAACUCAAUCAAGACCUACAUUUCAAGACCAACCGGGCAAGUUGUAGGUGACAAAAGCGAACACAAGGCAUUAUUCAACAACUCACCACACAUGGCAUGCAAAUCAAUCAAGAUGGUUCAAAAUCUUACUUCCUUUUCAAAAUACAAGUAGCAUUGAACAUUUUAACUGCCAACGAAUCAAAAGUCACAAAAAAAGUUGUAAGAGUUGUCACAAAAUCAUUUAUAACAUGCUCAACCUUUUAAAAACAAAGAGGUAUGCUUAACAUUAUUCACAUGUAUGACUAUGUUCUUAGUACCAACCAAGUCAAAACCUUCCCGAAAUGACGACGAUUUUGCCCUUAAGAAAGUCAUUAGCCAAUCCAUCAUCAGGCAACCUCAUGCAUCUAUUCGGGAAUGGCUACCCAAACUUCACCCUAAUCAACGCCAAUCAAACACUCACAAGCAAUCAACGAUUUAUCCUUAAGAAAGUCAUCACUCUCUAUCCAUCAUCGGGCAUCAUCAAUCCAAAUCUUGUUAUCAAAACAAAAACAAAGAAGCUACAAACUACAAAUUAAAAACUAAAAUAGACCAAUCCAAUGCAAUAUCAACAAAAACAUCCACAAUAUCAAAGUCCGACAAGGGCACACCAGUCCAUAACAAAGAAAGAAAAGUAUGCCUGACAAGGAUACAAUCACCAUAUGCAGAAAUAAUCAAUAAAAUGACUACAAGGGGAGCAUCCCCAACUGAAAAUGAGACUGUGUCCUUACUUCGGGACAAGUAAUCAUCAUAUUUUCGGGCCCAUUGUUACUAUAGGAACCUACUCUCAUCAAAAGUACUCUUUCUCCUCAAUUUUGCCUAUAGGAAAAUAGUCUAAUCUCUCAACCUCCCAAGGUAAGGAUAAGGUCGGUGUACACUCUACCCUCCCCACACCUCACUUUAUGAGAUGAUGUUGUGUACGUUGUUGUUGUUGUUGUUGUAGGUGAAAUCAAAUUCGAAACUUCAACAAUCCAAUUCCACUUCCCUAGAAAAUUCUAUACAAAUUAAAUCUAAAUCUCCAAUUACAAUUAAAAUUCAAAUAUAAAAAACAAGGAAACUUUUUUUAUGGGGUUUCUUACUUCAAGAACCUUGUUAUUUUGAGAUUUAUCCACACUUUUAAUCGCAAAAUACUCGAUUGUCAUCUUCUUUCUUCCUUUAUAUAGCAUCUGCAAAAGACAAAAAAAAAACAAAAAAACCCUAAACGACGCAAUCAACCUAAAGCGCAAACAAAAGAAGAACAAAGAAAGAAAAAAAACCAUUACCAGUGUCUUCCAUGGCCAAAAACUUCAUAUAUAUGAUACUGAUUCAUAUUUUUUUCACUUGCUCAUACAAAAUCACUUAGCAAGGGUUUUAACUCUUUUAGUCUGCAAAAAAAAACUUAAACAACACAGUUAACCUAAAAACGCAAACAAAAGAAGAACAGAGAAAGAAAAAAACCAAUACCGAGUGUUUCUGUGGCCAAAAGCUUCGUAUAGAUGAUACUGAUUCAUAUUUUUCACUGGCUCACACAAAAUCACUAAGCUAGGGUUUUUCCUCUUUUCCUGCAUCUGAAAUUGAAACUAAUCAAAGAGAUUAUUGAAGAAUUUCAUUGAAAUCGAUCAAAAAUUCUUCAUUGAAAUCAAGAAUUUCAUUUAAAAACGGCAAGAUUUGUGAGGAUGAGAAGAGAGUGUAUGUGUGCAACAGUACGAUAGGGGUAUAUUGAAAUGAAAUGAAAAUUAUUUUUCUUUUAGAGAAAAGGAAAUUUAAAAAAUUAGAAUAGGGGGCAAAAAAAGUAUAUUUUGUUUGUUUUAUAAUUGUCCACUAAUUAGUGUACUAAAAUUUGCAUCCAUAAAUACAUUUUUAGUUGAUUAAGGUAUAAUAUCUAAUUUGAAAACAAUUUUACUUCUAUUUUUUAGUUUUACGAGAUAAAUAUGCUUUAUAUUAUAAAAAAAAGUUAUUUUAGUUAUUGAAAAAUGAGCAUGUUUGAUCAAAUUUUUGAAAUAUGUUUAUUUAAAAUAUAUUUUUGGUCAAAUAGAAUUUCAUAACUAUUUUAUUUGGGGAGAGGGAGAAAGUAGGGAUGGAAAUUGGGCGGUGUGGGGUGGUGGUGGCAAUUGGACGGUGUGGGGCGGGGUUGGGGUGGGUUGAGAAAGUAUGUCCAGAAGAAGGCAAGGCCAAAAGAUAAAGUAUAUGAUUAUAAAGUGGGUUUAGAGUAUGCUAGCUACUUAAUGACGCAUACAAUAUAGGUUGGAUUUGCAAUAAUACAUUCAUACUUGACAUUUAUCGGGUCGGCAAAAUAACAAAUUAAGGCUUUGUUAUUUAGCUAGCGUUUGGCCACAAAUUUUUAAAUAUUUUUGAUAAAUAUUUUCGGGUGAAGUUUCAUUAUGCGUUUUACCAUAGAUUUUGAGAGAAAUAUUUUACUUUUAAAAAAAAUAUGAAUUAUACCUAUAAGUUUUAGAAACUAUUUAAAAUACCCAUGAUUUUUUAUUAUCAUUUUAUAAUGAAAAUGUUCAACGAAAAGUCAUGACAACGAACAUAAUGAAUAUGAAUUUGAAAAAAAGAGGAAAAAUACAAAAGGAAAAUACCAUUGAUUUUAUACAAAAAAAAAACUACUAUUACAACAUGUAAUUGGAAGUAAUUUCGGAGAACACGUUCAGAUAAAAUUGUAUAAAAUAUGCGAAAUAAAAUUUGUACAACAAACAAGGAAUGAAAUUUAGUCUUUAUAAAAUAUUAAAACAUGGGAUAAUUUUUAAAUUUUUAUGAUUCCAAUUUUCCCAUGUUUGGUUGGCUUAAAUAUUUUGAAAAAUGUUUUCCAAAUCAACUCAUUUUCCUCAAAUUUAAGGAAAUUGACUUUCCAUAAAAAAUUAAGAAAAAUAUUUUCCAAAACUCUACUUCAUCCUUCAAUAUAUUUUUCUUACCCUACCCCGUACCCUAUCCCCCUAUCCAAGAAAAAAUAAUUUAGUUUAAAUUUUCUUAUUUUUUAAAUUUCAUAUAUUUUUACCCCCUCCCCAAACCAUUCCCCCCUCCCCCUAACAAAAAAAAUAAAAUAAAAAUUUUGAAAAAUAUUCCAAGUUUUAAUUUUUUUUUUUACCUCACUCAACCCCUACCACCUAUGCCCUCUCCUCCCACAACAAAAUUGUUUUGGUUAAAAAUUUCAAAUUUUUAAAAAAAUCAUUUUUACGCUCACCUCCCCCCCCCGACCCCCCAAAAAAAAAGUUCAUAAAAAUAUAGUUUGGUAUGAAGGAAAACAUUUUCUGGAAUUGUUUUCUAAUUUUUCCAUGUUUGGUUGACUUAAAUAUUUUGAAAAAUGUUUUUCAAAUGAACUCAUUUUCCUCAAAUUUAAGGAAAAUGACUUUCCUUCAAAAAUUAAGAUAUUAUUUACGUUCAUUACAUAAUACAUAAUUAAUUUAAGAUUUUCAGGUAUAGACUUGUCAAUGAACUGAUUUCAUAAGCUUAACUUUAUCAACAACAAUAAAAAAAAUUAAUAAACUUAAUCGUCAAAUAUAAGGUCGUGCACUUAGGAAAACAAUUUCAGUGUCACAAAGUAUUGCACAAAUUUGUGCAUAGCAUGGUCUAUAGGGUGACACAUAGAGAUGACUUCUUGUACCCACCGUAAGCCAUAUGGAUGGAUGCCAUUCUUGACAUGCAAACAACCCGAAGUAAACAAAUAUUGUCUGAAGGAUCAUCCUCGGGCCUCAGGGAAGGCCCUUAUUCAAAGAAGAGAAUUAUGGGAGUUGCUAGACUAUCAACCUUUAUAUCCAUUUAAUCCAAUCCAAAGAAAAUAUAAAUCUUAUUUUUAUAAGAAACGGAAGAGGAAAAGGAUGUAUGAUAUCAACAUUUCCUACCUAUUGUUGAAUAAUUCUAGAGUUUCACUAUGAGUUGAGUUAGUAAUUACAAUCUGAUAACAAUAAAUCAAAUUUUGAAACAUAUGCGAAAUAGAGGAAACACUUUUCUCCUCUGACAGAAAGUACACCAGCCAUGAGAUCACUAUAACCGAAUAUGAACUUAGUAGCUGAAUGCACCACAACAUCUACAAAACCACAGACAAGUAAGUUAACAUUCAAUGCAUGUUAUUGGUGAGUAAUCCAGUUAGCAAAACAAAAAGUGUUUGAAAAAUACCUACUCUGAGCUCCAAGGAUGGGACAGUACUAUGGAGAUAAUAUUGUUAUCUACUAGCACAAGAGCCCCAUGUGCAUGAGCCAUCUUGACAAUUUUCAGUGAUAACUCAGAAGAGACAACAGUAUGAGACAAAAAAUCAUUAUCUUUUGAAGAUUUAUAUAUAGCUAUAUAUUAGCAACAUUAAAAGAUGAAAAUUGUACGUGCAUAAUCUACAUAUGCCACUGUCAAUAACCCAUAUUAAUAUCACAAAUUUGUGUAUUGGGGUUGGUUGGACUUUCCAGCCAAACAUGAUUUGCCCAUGGUUUAAUCACAAAAGCAACCUCAUCUUAAGUUAGUGGUAUCCACUCGCCUGUACAAAUAAGAUAACAAUCAAGAUUCUAAUAACCUAAUGGAAAACAAAGUUACAUCGACAAUAAAGAUUCUAAUCACUAUUCCCUCCGCGUUGGUGAAAGAGUGUUGUGUUAGUGGACGUUCUGGGUACGGGUUGGCUUACCUACUUGUGGGUUAUAGUAGGUGCCAUCGUGACUCGGGAAGUCAGGUCCUGACACAAAUAUGCUUUAGUUGAGUUGGAUAUGAAACAGUCCAACACACUAUCUCCUCGUCUUUCUGUUAGUUUUAGAGUAAGGCUCCAUGUCUAGGUUAUUUUGCUUAUGCUUCUUAUUCGUUGUUCAGAUUUCCCCUAUCCUUGAUUGUGCUAGUGUCAAGUAAGAUAUGCUUCCAUCUCUUUAUGUUACUCAUUCUUAAGGUUUGCUAUUAGAUGUGGUAUUCAAAGAGAAACAAGGCUUCACACAUUAUUUACUUUCAAUAUGCUAUACAUAACUGACUAAAGAUUUUUAGAUAUAGACUUGUCAAUGAACUGAUUUCUUAAACUUUCCUUAACUUUAUUAACAACAACAAAAAAAAUUCUUAAACUUCAUGGUCAAUUAUAUUUCAAUUAGAAUGUAAUUAGGAUAAUCAUCAGAUUACCUGGAAAGGAGUUUCUCCGCCAGUUUAAGCAGAUUUGCCAACUGUUUCAGAACCUAAUGACUAGCAACACUUCUUUUUAGUGAAUCGUACCCAAGAAGAUGGAUAACAACAGGAAAUAAAUGCAUACUAUUCUUAGAAUAAUUUUGACUUGUGACGCUAAUUAUCUGCCCACGAUGUUUACCACCUUUUAGUUGCUGAAUGUCCCUAGAUAUACACUCAAUCAAACUUGGUACAGUUGAUGCGGCAAUCAUCCCAAGGGCAUCUAAACACUACUUAACAACGUCAUCCUUCUCCUUAACCAACCUAUCAACGGUUGAGAGGAAUUUAGCAUUGCAAAAAAAUAGUGGCAGCCACCUGUUCCCAUUCAUACAAAGUAGAGCCACAAAUCUGAGUGCCUUUCCCUUCAAAACUUCACUUCCCUGCUCAAUUAGAGUCAACAGAUUCAAAAAAAGAUUCUUGUCUUCGACUAAGGCAAGAAGGGACAGUGUAUCACUUUCAAGGAGGGUCAUGUUCAGAAUGUUUAAGCAGAUUUGUUGCUCUCGUAGAUUAUGCUUGACGAGUCUUGAAAACAUAUCCUUGAAUGAAAGUUAUUCCAUGACUCGUUGAAUAAGGGUUAAAAUGAACAAGACGAGCCAAGUAAGACCCUGUUGUUAGCCUCGUGAUCUCCUGCUUUCCAAGAGCCCUAAAUAUGUAUCAGAGGUUAGUCAUGAUAUCUUGGAUGGUGAAAUGAGCUGACAAUACCCUCCUUGACUGAAGAUAUUUUCAAUAGUCCUUAGAGCAUAAAUUUGAGUAAUAUUAUCCUCUCCGUUUCGUAAAAGCGAUGAAACCAAUGAAAUUAAUGGACUUGGAACCUAUAACAUUAACAUUUCUAGUAAGGAAUGUUAAGACAUAAUGUGAGGCUUUGCAAUAUGUAAAGAUGGUACAGAUGCUGGUAUGAUUUUAUCUUUUUUUUUUUACAACCCCAAGAGAAAUAUCUUAACACAUUUGUUUAUGAUUUUAUCUGAUAUAUAGUGUUGCACCUAUAAGAAGUUACAACAACAAAGAUACCUGCCAAUAGGAUGAGGGUCGGUUGUCCUUAGAUGGAGAUUCCAUUGGUUUAUUAUCCCGAGCAUGUUCAUUUUGAGUAGAUAUAUAAAAUAGUAAUUCACCCAAAGCAGCCAUGGAAAACCUUCUCACUUUCUCUUGCCUGUCUCUCAGACCAUCAGUUCGUGCACCUAAUAUUCCAAGAUUUGCCAGCUCAUCCCCCAAAAAAGUAGAGUGAUGAAUCAACAAGCCAAUAAGUGAAGCAAGUUAAGCAUGCAACAGAGAAACCUUGGGGUCACGAAGCAUUUUGAGUAGAACCAAUACAAUAGACCCAUUGGUCAAGAUGUUGGCUACAACAGCAUUGCUGCUCAAAAGCUCAAGGUAUUUGAUCACAUUUUGCUUCUCCCCUGAGGGAGUAUUCCCCCACUAACAAUACUGAUGAGUCUACUAUUCUAAUUGCACUUUUAACAUUUGGACAAAAAUCAGACAGUUGAGGUGCAUCAAAUGAAACUGAAGGAUUUGCAUCUAAACCUUUAUCUGAUUUUCUGCUAGAAAUUAUAGGUCUGACUGAGAGAUCAGAUGGAUAACGAAUAAUAUUUGAAAGGUUCGUAGAUGGUUUUGAGAUAUCAGAGAAAUCAUAUUUUUAUAAGAACUAAAAGAGGAAAAGGAAGCAUGAUUGAACUUUAACGUCAUAUAAUUGGUCAAAAGCACUUCUAAACAGUUUUUCUUUAAUGAACUUCCAAACAGUUAUACCACCAAUUUAACUUUUCCUUUGUUCAUUUUAGGGCAAAAAUGAGGGGAGAGAGAGGUGAACUACCUGGGAGGAAGGUUUCUUUUAUAUAUCACACAAUUUUCUUGCUAAUCCAAAAUCACACAGCUGCCAGGAAACAAAUAGAACUUCAACGUUAUAUAACUGGUCAAAAGCACUCAUCGUGGAAAAGUCACAACAUAAAUAUCACCAUACCUUUGUGAUUCCAUUUUCAUCCAACAGGAUGUUUGAUAGCUUUAAGUCACAGUAAAUUAUUCCCUUUGAAUGCAAGUAUCUGGUACAGUAGACAAAACACCAAAAAAGUAAUUCAUGACGAAAACAACAAGUGUUACAAAAGAACAAAGAAGGCUAAAGUUACUUACUUACAAAAGAGCUCUAACAAGGCCACAAGCAAGUUCAUGUAUUGAAUAUUCAGGAAGCUUGCCAUCCUUCAACCAGAGAUUUAAUGAUGUUAAAAAUCUCCUAGGUAUGGUUUAAACUAAAAUACAGGUAAGAUGAUGAAGAUGCAAGUUGUGACAUUACCAACUACAGUAAACUGUGGUCAUUUUGACUACUCUUUAAAUACAAUAAAAAAGAAACCUAUUUCUUUAACAUCAUUUUACUGGCACAAGAAACAAGUUAGUCCAAAGAGUGAGAACCUUUAUUUGUGAGACUACAAGCAAUCAUCUCUGUUAAAGUGUUCAAUCGCACAUGACACUGAUGUCCUUAGUGCCUGUUUGGGAAAUCCCAAUGUAGGCAUGCAUUAAAUUUACCAUGAAACCUCAAUAUCUCACACCUCUACUAGAAAAAGACCAAGAAUAAUUAGGGUGUUGUCACAAAUUUUUGAUGUUCGUGUGUAAUGUCGGCAUAAGGAAUCCUCUAUUCCAACAUAGUAUGUAUACCUCUAGAACAAUGAAAUGUAUUUGUAAGAUAGUAGACCUGCCAGUGCUUACUUGCUGCAACAAGCUUAUGAGAUUUCAUCCAACACAAUAUUCUAAAACCAACCACAAGUGUGGAAAUGUUUCAUACCUAUGGAUCGGUUGAAUUAAAAAUAAGUCAGAGAAAUCUUCUUAUUAAACACCAAAAUUAUCUUUAACACAGAAACGUAAUUGAAGAAAAAGAAAGGAAUUAGAUGCAAGACAGGAAAAAAAAAUAUGAUCAUUUGUUCACGAGACUUCAAAUUUAUGCCACGGAAUAAGAAAACUGUGUUAUCCAGUAACAUAACAUUUUCCCUCUAUAUCUAUUCCUCUAAAAAAGUUGACUACAAUUAAAAAUCAAUAGUAUUAUGAAGUUCACAAAUUUCUAAGUGAGCUAUUGGGUAGCUAAUAAAUUUUGCAGAUUGGUUCCCAAUUAAAUCAUAAAUUCUCAUCUUCCCAAUAGGGUGGCUUAGCAAUCAAAUAGAUCAAGUAACAGCUUGGGAACUAAGGUUCAAAUUUCACAAUAGACAACACAAGGUGAUAUCUUAUCAUCCACCUAAAUCUUGAUGUGCAUAGUUAAACAGAUAGUACUAUGUACUACAAUACAUGGUGUCCCAGAUACCAUUGUUAUCAAGAGGAUAAAUUAGGCACUUCCACAAUUUUAUCAUCGGAGGUGCAAGCAAAUACAACUAAGGGUCUAUCAAAAACAGUUUAAUCUCUUUUCCUCCCAAGGUAAGGAUAAGGUCAAUGUAAACUCUACCCUCCUCAAACCCCUUUUUAUAACAUUAUGUUGUGUACGUUGUCGUUGUUGUUGGAGGUGAAAUCAAAUUCAAGCAUGAAGUUCUAGUUCCCUCCGCCAUAUUUGUUUUCAAAAUGAGAACCUUGUAAAUAAAACAUGAAAUAGUAAUAACAGAAUGAACAUGCAUUAGACUUGGAGAAAACUGCCUUUAGUAAUUUCAGAUUCAUUGAUUUCCACUUCUUCUCUUUCAGUCACAGUGAAGCUCUCCACUUUCUGUUGAUGGCUUUUGAGCAUUUUUGGCAGUAAGUUCUUGUUCCUUCCUCUGAAUGUCAAAUUUAUUCAACUUUUCUUCAAACUCCUCAUUGCAUUUUCAACUAUUGGCCUCUUUUUGCCUCAAGUUCACUUGGUUUCUUCAAAUAUCCUAAAUCAACUCUCCAUUUCAUUUUCAUGCAAAAAUGAAAAAAACCACGUUAAAAGCACCAAUUCUAAACUAAAGCAAGCCAAAAUAACUACCAAAAGAGCCUCAAAUGAGUGGAACUCCACCACUCAUCAGCACCCCCAACUUCGAAACCUUGUUGGUACUCAAGUAAAGAAAAUAAAAAAUACAAGAGGCUCUUAUUUUAAGACACACUACAAAUCAAUUUCCCUUUCUCAAUUAAGCACAAAGGAAUCAUUCAACAACUCAAUGCACAUGGCCUGCAAAUCAAUCAAGAUGGUUCAAAAUUUUACUUCCUUUUCUAAAUACAAGUAGCAUUGAAUAUUUUAACCGCUAACGAAUCAAAAGUCACAAAACGAGUUAUAAGAGUUGUCACAAAAUCAUUCAUAACAUGCUCAACCUUUUAAAAAUAUUAUUCACAUGCAUGAAUAUGUUCUUAGACCGAACCAAGUUAAAACAUUCCCAAAAAGACGACAACUUUUCCCUUAAGAGAGCUGUCAACCAAUCCAUCAUCAGGAAGUCUCAUGCAUCUAUUCGGGAACGGCUACUCAGACUUUGCCCUAAUCAACACCAAUCAAACACUCAUAAGCAAUCAACAAUUUACCCUUAUGAAAGUCGUCACCCUCUAUCCAUCAUCAGGCAUCGUCAAUUCAAAUCUUAUUAUCAAAACAAAACCAAAUAAGCUACAAACUACAAAUAAAAAACUAUAAUAUACCAAUCCAACACAAUAUCAACAUAAACAUCGACAAUAUCAAAGACUGACAAGGGAACACCAAUCCAUAACAAAGAAACAAAAGUACACCCGAUAAGGAUACAAUAACAGUAUGCAGAAACAAUCAACAAAAUUAUUACAAGGGAGGCAUCCCUAACUGAAAAUAAGAUUGUGUCCUCACUUGUGGCCAAGUAAUCAUCAUAUUUUCAGGCAUAUUUUUCCUAUAGGAACCUGCUCUCAUAAAAAACACUCUUCCUCCUCAAUUUCUGGAGCCAUUUCUUAAUCAUUCAAAUUGGUUUCGAAAGCCAUUUUUAGUUCAAAACACCUACAAAUGAAGCCAACAUGUCAAAAGUUCUUGUGGACACUUAAAAAGUGUAUUAGGAAGUAUUUAAUCCAAAGAAGUAAUCAAAAGAAGGUCCGAACUGAGCUAUGCGAAGCUACUAUUUUGGGCUUGCCAUCACUGUCCUCCGUGUUCACUGAGGAAUGUCACGUUACUUGUCGUUCUGGGUACAGGUUGGCUGAUCUACUGGUGGUUUAUAGUAGGUACCAUCGUGAUUCGGGAAGUUGGGUCGUGACACAAAUAUACUUUAGUUGAGUUGGAUAUGAAACAAUCGAACACACUAUCUCCUAGUCUUUCUGUUAGAUUUAGAGUAAGAGGCUCGAUGUAAAUGUUAUUUUGUUUAUACGUCUUAUUGAUUGUUCAGUUUUCCUUUAUCCUUGAUUGCCCUAGUGUCAAGGGAGAUUGCCUAUACAUCCACCUCUUUAGGCAUUGUUCAUUUUGAAGGGUUCUUAAUAGAUAUGGUAUUCAAAAAGUUGUUCUUUGAUGCUUAUAUGGUUUUCAUCCUCUAUAGAAUAUGGUUUUUGUCUUGCCAAAGCAAAAGAAUAGUUGCACGUUUACUAUAAUCAACAGGAAAAGAUUGAGAAGGUAAAUGUCAUUAGGAAGUAAUUUGAUAGGAACAAAUUAUCUUAGAAAAUAGUAUUUGAGCAUAAGAUGAAACUUACCAAAAUUUACUAUAAUGCUGAAAUACUUUGUAGCCCCAACAACUUGCUUAAAGAGUGCCAAAGAACCUGUCAGAAAACUCAGCACCGAUCCUGCACUCAUAGCCUGCAAAUUGAUCAACAUUUAAGCAGUAAGUUUCGAGGGAGAACUUCAUGGUGGCAGGAUACCGACAACCAUAGCGCCUUAGUUCAAAUUCCCAAAAAAAUCACCUGUUCAUGAAGACCUGCAUAUUUGACCUUCUUCACUUGUGGAUGGGAAGAUAAAUAUUUAGCAAUUUUUUGUGCAUUCUCCUGCAAGAUAUUGAAAUUAUUUAGUUAGAACAUUGUGAUAUGGCAGAAUUUACGAACCAUCUUAACUUCUCAGCACAAUAUAAUGAUGAAGAUGCAACAAUAUGCAUGCCAUAAUCAUGAAAAUCUAUAGGAUCAAGAAUAAUAGAUUGACAAAGGCGCAGGAAGGCACAUAUGAUUCUAGAACGAGUGGUGGGAUACUAAUUUCACCACUAAAAAAAAGAAAAGAAAAUUAAACUUGUUGUUUUUUCAACACGAAGAGCCAUUGUUUUAAUUCCUCUCAAACAAAGACAACAAUUGAAUGGCGCUAACCCUACACCUUCAAUAUUUUGUAGGAAGUACAUCUCCUUUGCUAAGAUUGUUAAGUACAAAAAUUUAUAAGAAAAUUAUUAGAAGGACACUUGACAUGUUCGAAGAGAAACAAGACAUCAGACAUUAUUUACAUUCAAUACGCUAUACAUAACUACUAAUUUUUUUCAAAUAUAGACUUGUCAAUAAACUGAUUUCUUAAACUUUACUGAAUUUUAUCAACAACAACAAAAGAAGUUAUUAAACUUCAUGGUCAAUUAUAAGGGCAACAAUGCAUUCAGGAAAAGAAUUACAGUGUCACUAAGUAUUGCACAAAUUUGUGCAUUGCAGGGUCAAUAAGGUGCUGCAUAGAGAGGACUUCUUGUUCACACCAUAAGCCAUAUGGAAGGGAUCCAUUUUUGACUUGCAUACAACCCUGAGCAAGUAUACUAAGAUUGUACGAAGGCUCAUCCUCGGGCCUGAGUGAAGGCCCUUAUUCAAAGUAAAGAAUUAUGGAAGUUGCGAGAUUAUCGUCCUUUAUAUCCUUUUAAUCCAGUCCAAAGAAAAUAGAAAAUUUAUUUUUAUAAGAAAUGGAAGAGAAAAAGGAAGCAUGAUUUCAGCAUUUCCUACCUGUUGUUGAACAAAUCUAGAGUUUCACUUUGAGUAUGGUAACUGAUCAUUGCUAGAGAAAUCAAUAAUCGGUCUACUUACAAACUCACAUUCACUAUAGUCAAACUCCUAAUGUAAUUAUUGGUUUAGGCAAUCAAAAACGACCAGAGAAAACUAAGAAUAUACAAUCAUAAGAUAACAAUAAAUCAAAUUUUGAAAUGUAUGCGAAUUAGAGGAAAAACCUUUCUCCUCUGACAGAAAGUACACCAGCCAUGAGUUCACUAUCACCAGAUAUGAACAUAGUAGCUGAAUGCACCAAAAUAUCUACAAAACCAUGGACAAGUAAUCUAACAUUCGAUGCAUUUUAUUGGAGAGUAUUCCAGUUACCGGAACAAAAAGUAUUUGCAAAAUACCUGCUCCGAGCCCCAAAGGAUAGGACAGCACUGGGACAUAAUGUUGUUGUCUACCAGCACAAGUGCCCCAUUGCAUGAGCCAUCUUGAAAAUUUUCUAUGAUAAAUCAGAAAAGACAAUAGUUUGAGACAAAAAAAUCAUUAUCUUUUGAAGAUUAAUAUAUUACUAUCUAUCAGCAAUAAAAGCUGAAAUUUGUAAGUGCAUAAUCUACAUAUGCUACUAUCAAUCACCCACACGAAUAUGACAAAUUUGUUGAUGAGGGUUGGUUGGACUUUCAAUCCAAACAAGCUUUGUUCGUGUUUAAUCACAUAAAGUAACCUCAUGUAAGUUACAGUGGUAUCCACUCGCCUGUACAAAUUAGAUGACAAUCACGAAUCUAGUAACCUAAUUGAAAACAAAUUACAUCGACAAUAAAGAUUCUAAACAAUGUCUCAUCCGCAUUCACGGUGGACUGCCGCAUUACUUGUCAUUUUGGGUAAAGGUUGGCUUACCUACUAGUGGGUUAUAGUAGGUGUCAUCGUAACUCGGGAAGUUUGAUAUGAAAUAGUACAACACACUAUCUCCUCGUUUUUCUAUUAGAUUUACAGUAAGGGAUCCAUGUCUAGGUUAUUUUGCCUAUGCUUCUUAUUGGUAGUUCAGUUUUCCCCUAUCCUUGAGUGCACAAGUGUGAAGCCCGAUGGCAAUGAAAACACAAAAUUGCUUUGAUACUUAUAUGGCUUUCAUCCUUUAUAGAAUAUGGUUUCUGCCUUACCAAAGCAAAAGAAAUAGUUGCACGUUUACUAUAAUCAAUAGGGAAAAGAUUGAGAAGGCAAAUGUCAUUACAAAGUAGUUUGAUAGGAAAAAAUGAUAUUACAAAAUAGUAAUUGAGCAUAAGAUAAAACUAAACAAAAUUGAUUGUAAUGCUAAAGUACUUGGUAGCCUCAGCAACAUGCUUAAAGAGUGCCAAAGAACCUGUCAGAAAACUCAUUCUGAUCCUGCACCCCUAGCCUGAAAAUUGAUCAACAUUUAAAUAGUAAGUCUCAAGGGAGAGCUUCAUGGUGGCAGGAUAUCGACAAGCAUAGCGCCUUAGUUUAAAUUCCCAAAAAUCACUUGUUUGAAUACCUCAGAGAAGUGGAGUGGGUUUGUGAGCCUAAGGCACCACUUCCCAACUCCACGGGCAGGACCAUGGCUCGUGGAGUGGCUCAUGGUGCCUAGACGGGAUUCACUAAAUGAGGGUCUUUUAAGGAAUUUCCUUUUUAGUCCAAUUAAAGUGGGGUUGUUUUAGGUAUUUUUAGGGGAAGUAUAUAAGUUGAUUUUAAGUCAAAAUUCAUUAUUUUAAGUCAUACUACCCCAACACCCAAAUCAAAUCAAACACUUCCUCCUCUCUCAAUAUUUCUCUAUCUAAGCUCAAGGAAGAAGAAAGAGGCAUUGGAGCUAGGGUUUGUAGAUUUUAAAGGUUCUUCCCCAAAUAUCUUGGAGAUUCUUAAUUGAGGUAUGGAUGCUUUUCAUCUUUGGGUAGCUAUCCCCCAAAGAGCCACUUCAAAUUAUGUUUUCAAGAUUUCAAAUCCCCCAAACCUAGGGUUUUCAAUCUAUGAAAUGUUACAUUGUUUAAUUAUGGUUUAUUAUGGUUGAUUAUGAUGAUUUAUAAUGGGAAUGUUGAAGUAUUGUUGGAUUUUGAUGAAAAUCUCCCUUGGACCCAUGAUUUCCUCUUCUUCCUAAAUUGUGAACUAUGUAUGGCUUGAUUGAUGAUGGUAGCAUGACAAUUGAUUAUGUUGUUGAAUCAUGAUAUCUCUCUAUCUAGUAUGGUAAUUCUAGAAGUUAGGGUUAAUCUUGAUUCUUAGCCUUGAAGGGCAAUUUGUUAGGGUUUAUAUAUGUUGAUGAAUAUUGUAUAUGAACUUGUGAUUCUCUUAGAUAGUGAUGAACCUAUAACUAAUGUGUAAUUGUGGUAUUGACGCAAGAUCCUUCAUCCCUAUACCUUUACACUUGAUUAUGCAUGAAGUAUGUACUAGUUGGUGAUUGAGACAAGGUCUAGAUUCUUAUUUUCAUUUAGGGCUAACCCAUUGGUGGCCCCCUAAAGUUGGCAUCAAUUUUCACUGAGACAUCUUAACUAGGCUUUGUUCAUUUAGACACCUCAUGUAAGGCCCUGAUAUGUCAGUUUGACACUUUUUUUACAUUCAGCAAAAAUAUGAUGGUGAGUGUGUUCCAAUCGUGAAUGAUGUGUAAAGUGUCUAAUUAAAUGAGGACACUUGUCAUUUUGUUCAAAAUAAUUCUUAAAUAAUAAACUAUCAAUUAUAAAAAUAAAAAUAAAGAUGGCCAAUGGAUCGGUGACACGUGGCUUUUUUUUUCCAAAUAAUAACAAAAAAAGGAUUAAAUCACCUUAACAAAUCUUUAAGAGAAACAUCUCCCACUUCCACCCCCACCCCAUCGUGUUCUUCAACGUUGGAGAAACAAGCAUAGUAGCACACACCCCUUAAUUUUCUAUCAUAUACCCAAAAUUUUCUCUAUCUCUUUUACUUAAAUAUUGUUCAAUCCUACUUUAGUGAACUUGUGUAACUCAAUUUUUUUCAAAUAAAUGCAUCUCCACAAAUUUUAUUGCUAAAAGAGAAUUUUACAGUUUUUAUUGCUAAAAAAAAUAAAGUCUAAGAUCCAAUGAACUUUUAAAAUACAAAUGUGUACGUGUUCAUAUCAGAUUGUUAAGUUUCUUUUAAUGGGAUUAUCUCAUUUUUAGUGACUUUUUAUUCAUCCCCAACUUUUCAUUUUUUUCUUCAAGUUUCAGUCUUUUUUUCUCAAAUUAAAUUGAUGAAGAAGGGCAGCAUCCUUGGGAAAUCUUGGGGAAAGCUCUGUUUGGAAUUAGAUUCCACAGUUGUGGCAUCAUCAAAUAUAUUUUACCAUGGAAGAAGUUCAAGUUUGAGAAAAUGGUGGUUGAAAAUAUGGGGAAGAAGAAGGAAAUAUAAAAUAAAAAUUGGCUAAAAAAGAGCCUGACGCGCGGUUAAUGAGUGGGUCAGACUCACUAUGCCAUAUCAGCAAAAAGUGUCAAAAUGAUACAUCAGGAUCUUAUAUGAGGUGUCUAAAAUGAACAAAGUCUAGUUCAAGUGUCUAAGUGAAAGUUCAUGCCAACUUUUAGGAGCCACCGAUGGGUUAAGCCUUUCAUUUAUGAAAAAUAAAUUGACUUCGAUUGUAAAAGUUUUAAAUUUUUCCGCAUUAUUCUAUGACUUAUGUGUAUGAUUAUGCUAAGGUCUUGUAUGCGACCCCUUCAGGGUCAAGUACAUUGUGUUACGUCUAGGGGGUACCCCUGGGUCGUGACAAACUUGGUAAUUAGAGCACAAGAUUUAGAAUGAUUCUAGGAUUGAUGUCUCAUGAACCAUGUCUAGUAGAGUCUUGUUCAUGAAUGUGAAGCGCGCCACACUUAUGAAUGAGAGGCUAUAAGUUGUUUAGGAACUUUUCCUUCUUUCAUUACUCUUUAGUCAUGCUUUAGAGUUUUAACUCUAUGAAGUCCUUUUUCCUAACCCUUUUCUUGUGUAUAUAGCAUAUGAAUACUAGAAGGGGAAAUGCAAGAAGGAGGGAAGAGGAGAUUGUGAAUGAGGGAGUUCCUCCCCAAGGUCCUCAAGAGCCUCAAGUUCCUCAAGCUCCUAAUAAAGAGGGGGAUAUGACCAAUGUGGAGAGAAGGACAACUCUCCAAACAUUGACUCAUGCUUUGACGGCUCAAGUCACAAGGAUGCUAGAGUUCAAGUGAACCCCAAUGUAAGUACAACCGAUUCAAGGUUAGGGAUUUCACAAGAAUAAAUCCCCCAGUGUUCUAUGGCUCCAAAGUGGAUGAAGAUCCAUAAGGGUUUAUUGAUGAAGUGCUUAAUGUGCUUAAUGAUAUGAGAGUGUCUUCCCAAGAGAAGGCAGAACUAGCCACCUACGAAUUGAAGGAUGUGGCUCAUGUUUGGUUUGAGCAAUGGAAGGAUGAGAGACCCAUAAGAGCGGGCCCGAUACAUUGGGGAUUGUUCAAGUCAGUCUUCCUUGAUAGGUUUUUUCCUCUUGAGUUGAGGGAACGAAAAAUGCAAGAAUUCAUCAACCUUCAACAAGGAGGAAUGACUGUGAAGGAAUAUGGCCUUAAGUUCACCCAAUUGUCUAAGCAUGCUCCAACUUUAGUGGCGGACUCUAGGGCCAAGAUGAACAAAUUUGUUAUGGGGUUAUCCGACUUGGUGGUCAAUGAAUGUCGUUCGGCUAUGCCUAUUCCAAGUAUGAAUAUUGCACGUCUUAUGGUUUGUGCCGAACAAAUUGAGGAACAAAAGCUGAAGCAAGUGAAUAGAGAAGUAAAGAGGGCAAGAGUCGAUGAUGGAAAUUCUUUCGAGGGUAAAUUUGAGAUUCAAGGUAAACCAACGUUCAAGAAGAGGUUUUCCAACCAAGGCUCUUCAAGUGCUCCAAAGGGAAACAAAGAUAUGGUGUCUAACCCUAAGCCUCAAGGAGGUUGUAGUAGUGGUUCUUAUGUUGAGAGAACUACUUGUGCCAAGUGCGGCAAAAAGCAUGAUGGCAAGUGCUUAGUUGGCAUGGAUGGUUGCUUUAGUUGUGGAAAGAGCGGCCAUAUGAAGAGAGAUUGUCCCAUGCUAAAGGUUCAAGGAAGAGAGGGCAAGCAGGCCCCUCCUAGUGGUUCAAAUUCUGAUGCUCCCAAGAAGAACCGCUUCUAUGCUCUCCAAUCACGAGGUGACCAAGAGAGCUCUUCGGAUGUUGUAACGGGUAUGUUGCAAGUCUUUUUCAUUGAUGUUUAUGCAUUAUUAGACCCCGGUGAUACCUUGUCAUUUGUUACACCUUUUGUGGCUAUGAAAUUUGAAAUGUUCCCCGAUGUGUUAGAAGAACCUUUCUCGGUGUCUACCCCGGUUGGUGACUCGGUAGUGGCAAAAAGAGUCUAUAGGAGUUGUCAUAUUUCUGUCUUAUAAAGUCACUUUGGUUGAUUUGGUAGAAUUAGACAUGCUUGAUUUUGAUGUAAUUUUGGGCAUGUAUUGGUUGCAUGCAUGUUAUGCUUCUAUAGAUUGUAGGACCCGAGUGGUCAAAUUUCAAUUUCCAAAAGAGUCAAUUUUAAAGUGGAAAGUGGGGGAUUCUAUUCCGAGAGGUCAAAUUGUUUCAUGUCUAAAAUCUAGGAAAAUGAUCUCCAAGGUGCAUGCAUCAUAUUGUUAGGGUUAUGGAUGUUGAGUCCAAGGUGCCUUCUUUAGAGUCGGUCCCCGUGGUGAGUGAGUUUCCUGAAGUCUUUCCCGAUGGCUUGCCCGGCAUUCCUCCCGAAUGGGAAAUAGACUUUGGAAUUGAUCUUUUGCAGGAUACACAACACAUAUCCAUCCCUCCUUAUAGAAUGGCUCCAGCCGAAUUGAAAGAGUUGAAGGAGCAACUCAAGGACUUUUUAGACAAGGGUUUUAUUCAACCAAGCAUCUCUCCAUGGGGUGCUCCGGUAUUGUUUGUGAAGAAGAAGGAUGGGUCCCUUAUGAUGUGUAUAGACUACCGUCAAUUGAAGAAAGUGACUAUAAAGAAGAAGUAUCCUCUCCCUACAAUUGACGAUUUGUUUGAUCAACUUCAAGGGGCUAACUAUUUCUCCAAAUUAGAUCUUCGUUCGGGUUACCAUCAACUAAGGAUAAGAGGGGUUGACAUUCCCAAAACGACUUUCCGAACUAGAUAUGGGCAUUAUGAGUUCCUUGUGAUGUCAUUUGGUCUAACUAAUGCCCCAAAGACUUUUAUGGACCUUACGAAUAGGGUUUUCUGGAAAUAUCUCGACAUGUUUGUCAUUGUGUUUAUUGACGAUAUCUUGAUCUAUUCUAAGAGUGAGAGUGACCAUAUGGACCAUUUGAGAGUUGUGUUGCAAGUCCUCAAGGAUAACCAAUUGUAUGCUAAGUUUAGUAAAUGUGAGUUUUGGCUAAGGUCGGUUGCGUUCCUUGGUCAUAUUGUGUCGAGCAAGGGUAUUAAGGUAGAUCCAAAGAAGACGGAUGCGGUCAAAGGUUGGCCUAGACCUCUAACUCUUACCGAUAUUAGAAGUUUUUUGGGUUUAUCCGGCUUCUAUUGGAGGUUUGUUGAGUGUUUCUCCUCUAUUGCUUCUCUAUUGACAGCCUUAACUCAAAAGAACGCUCAAUUUGUGUGGUCGGAAGCUUGUGAGAAAUGCUUCCAAGAAUUGAAAGAUAAACUCACCUCCGCUCCAAUUUUGACCUUACCGGAGGGUACCGAUGGGUUUGUAGUAUAUUGUGAUGCUUCUCGAGUGGGUUUAGGAUGUGUCCUUAUGCAACAUGGGAAAGUAAUUGCCUAUGCCUCAAGGUAACUCAAGAUACAUGAGAAGAACUAUCAAACUCAUGAUCUCGAGUUGGAGGCGGUGGUAUUUGCUUUGAAAUUAUGGAGACAUUAUCUAUAUGGGGUGCAUGUUGAUCUGUUCACCGACCACAAGAGUCUCCAAUAUAUGUUUAGCCAAAAAGACUUGAAUCUCUGACAAAGAAUGUGGUUAGAACUUUUGAAAGAAUAUGAUAUGAGUGUCCUUUAUCACCCUGGGAAAGCCAAUGUAGUUGCCGAUGCCCUAAGUCGAAUGUCCAUGAAUAGUGUGUCUUAUGUAGAAGAUGAGAAGAAAGAGUUAGUUCGAGAUGUACAUUGGUUGGCCCGGUUAGGUGUCCAACUAGUGAAUUCCACCAAGGGUCGUGUCAUGGUCCAUCAUGGUUCCAAAUCCUCAUUCGUGGUUGAUGCGAAGUUCAAGCAACACAUUGAUCCUAUAUUAAUGGAGUUGAAAGAAUCGGUACUCAACAAGUCCGUUGAGGCUUUCUCCCAAGAGGGAGAUGGGGUGCUUAGGUACCAAGGUAGAUUAUGUGCUCCGGAUAUUGAUGGCUUAAGAGAACAAAUUUGAAGAGACUCAUGGUUCGCGAUAUUCUAUUCAUCCGGGAGCCACCAAGACGUACCGUGACCUACGGGAAGUCAUUGGUGGAAUGAUAUGAAGAAGGAUAUAGUGGGUUUUGUAGCCAAAUGUCCAAAUUGCCAACAAGUUAAGGCCGAGCAUCAAAGGCCCGGAGGGUUGUCCCAAGAUAUAGAUAUUCCCACUUGGAAGUGGGAGGAUUUGAAUAUGGAUUUUGUUGCGGGGUUUCCUCAUACUCUAAGGCAACAUGAUUCUAUUUGGGUCAUUAUUGAUAAAAUGACAAAGUCCGCCCACUUUAUUCCCGUCAAUGUUUCUUAUUUGGCAGAAGAAUAUGCCAAGUUGUACAUCAAUGAGAUAGUGAAGUUGCAUGUGGCUCCCUUAUCUAUCAUUUCAGAUCAGGGUGAUCAAUUUACUUCACACUUUUGGAAGGCAUUCCAAAAAGGGCUUGGUACCAAUGUUAGGCUUAGCAUCGCUUUUCACCUUCAAACGGAGGGUUAAGAGGAACGCACCAUUCAAACCUUAGAGUACAUGUUGAGGGCAUAUGUGAUUGACUUCAAGGGUAGUUGGGAUGAACAUAUUCCAUUGAUAGAGUUUGCCUACAAUAAUAGUUACCACUCAAGUAUUGUCAUGGCACCGUUUUAAGCAUUGUAUGGUAGGAGGUGUAGAUCUACGGUUGGUUGGUUUGAGGUAGGUGAAUUUGCUCUAGUUGGUCUCGAAUUAGUCUAUUAGGCCAUUGAAAAGGUUCGCCUCAUUAGAGAGAGGUUGAAGACGGCCAAAGUCGGCAAAAGUCUUAUGUCGAUGUUAGAAAGAGGGAUCUAGAAUUUGAGAUUGGUGAUUGGGUCUACUUGAAAAUCUCACCUAUGAAAGGUGUGAUGAGAUUUGGUAAGAAGGGGAAGCUUCCCAUAUCAAAUCUUGAAGCGUAUUGGGAAGGGUGCUUAUGAAUUAGACUUCCCAAGUGAGUUGGCUGCAGUUCAGCCGGUGUUUCAUGUUUCCAUGCUCAAAAAGUGCAUUGGUGAUCCGGUAUCAAUCAUUCCUUUAGAGGGUUUAGGAGUUGAUGAGAAUCUUUCCUAUGAGGAAGUUUCGGUAGAGAUUUUGGGCUGGGAAGUUAAGAGGUUGAGAAACAAAAAAGUAUAUUCGAUUAAGGUCUUAUGGAGGAAUCACUUAGUUGAGGCCGUGGCCAACAUGAAGUCCCGCUAUCCUCAUAUUUUUCCUUCUACUCCUAUUACAACUUGAGGUAAGUAGUUUCUUGAGUUUGGUAUUUUGGAAGUCAUAUGUGCUAUAAGUGUUCUCUAUGAUUUCCUUAUGUUGUGAAUGUUCUUGUGAGAAUUCAUGUUUAGCGUAAAUUGAGUUUUCAUGAUUUAUAUGUUCCUCAUGUUGAGUUGCAUUUUUAGUAUGAUGAUUGCAUAUUUGACUUCAUGAGGUGAAUUGAUGAACAUGCUUAGUUAUGAUUUUGAUGAAAUGAUAUGUUGGAUCUAUAUUCUUUUGUUGAGCUUGCUUUGAGUUGGAGAAGGUAGUCCCUCCUAUGUUAAUAUGAAAUGAUAAAUAUUGUGCAUAAUGGGUUGUAGAUGUAGUUUCCUACUUCCUUGUGAUUCCAUUGAUUAUGUCUUGAGAUGGAGUUGAUGUUUCCUCCUAAUGAAUUGUUCGUUUUGUUAUGUUGCAUGCUCGUUAGGCUGCUAGUCUUGAGUCUUUACUUCUGUAAGAUGUCUAAAUCGUCAUUCGAGGACAAAUGUUCCCAAGGGGGAGAUAAUGUAACACCCCAUAAAAUGGUAGGUUCAACUAGAACCUAAACGUAAGGGUAAAAAUCAUAAAAUGACUCCCCGAGUGUUAGUAAGUCAUUUAAGGUUGAAAAAAGGACUUUUUGAGUUAAGGCCAAGGGGUAAGUGCCAAGGCAAAGGGGCCAAAGGCCAAGGCUGCUCCUUGCUAGGAGCACAUUGCUUCACCUUCACUAGAGGGACCACAACCCGUGGUCCACUACACAGCUCGUGAAGGGGGUCGUGAAGCUCCCUUGGCCAUGGGAAAAUGGCCACCCUUUGGCCUAGCCACUGCCUCAACUUCACAUGAGGGACCACGGCUCGUGGAGCCCUCUGUGAAGAAGACUUGGGCAAAGUGGCUAAAGGCCCCAAAAGGCAAGCUCACUGCCUCAAGGACCACGAGAGGGACCACGGCUCGUGGUCUUGACCACGUCUCGUGGAGCCCCUCGUGGUAAUGCCUUAGGCUUGUGAGCCUAAGGUAAUCCCAAGCCACUACCUCAACUCCACGGGUAUGACCAUAGGUCGUGGUCCUCACCAUGGCUUGUGGAGUGGCUCGUGGUGCCUAGACGGGAUUCACUAAAUGAGGGUCUUUUAAGUAAUUUCCUCUUUAGUCCAAUUAAAGUGGGGUUGUUUUGGGUAUUUUUAGGAGAAGUAUAUAAGUUGAUUUUAAGUCAAAAUUCAUUAUGUGGGGGUAGAACACCGGAUUCCAUGUCGCUCACAUGGUCUAUGUCGAUUAAGGCUAUUAUCCCUAUAUGAUACGAAUAUGAACUAUGGUAAGAGCAUGGACUUUAAUUAUGACUUCUUAAGAGGUACUACUUAGUAUGAGUGGGGAUAUGGGACUUCACUUACACAUUGCACAAGUAGACCUUAAGGGAGGUUGUGAUGAGUUCUUUUAUGUUAUGAAGACUUAUGAAAUAUGUAUGUAUGAUAUGUAUGAAUGUUAAUGUUGACUUUACUUGUUACAAGUUAUGAUCAUGAAUGUCUCCUUACUUAUGUAUAUUGGCUAUGACGAGGCCAAUGUAAGAUAUGUAUGUUGUUGGUGACUUAAAUGUGAUACUUGGCAUUUGGUAGGGUUAUUGGAUCUUACCUUUGCAUUGCACUAGUAUGACUUUGGGUUGCUUGUAUCUUGGUAUGACUUAUGUUUCUUCAUAAAUGUGCAUAAUGGUUUUCAAACUUGAUAAAGGCAUGAUUUCAACUAAAUGUCCCUUUUAUGCAUGUUUCAAUGAUUUUGUGCAUGGCUUCCAUAUUUAGUACUUUAUGUGCUAACCCAUAUUCAACUUUUUACUAUUAGUGUAGGUUCCGGUCAUUGAUACAUACUUCUUACUUCAAGUGAAGCUUGGGUUGAGUAUUCCCUAGGCUUGGUGAGUCCUCAAGUUUGCGGACAAGUUGUUAUCAUUUUCUAGUUUCUAUGUACUUUCUAUUUUUGAGACUUUAUUGAUGUAAAGGGCUUUGACCCUAUUUGUACUCCCUAUUAUACUAGAUGGUGAUUGAGACAAGGUCUACAUUCUUAUUUUCGUUUAUGAAAAAGAAGUUGACUUCGAUUGUAAAAGUUUUAAAUUUUUCUGCAUUAUUCUAUGAUUUAUGUGUAUGAUUAUGCUAAGGGCUUGUAUGCGACCCCUUCAGGGUCAAGUACGCCAUGUUACGUCUAGGGGGUACCCUAGGUCGUGACAAGAACGAGUGGUAGGACACCUAAUUUAACAACCAAAAUAAGCAAAUAAAAUUAAACCUAUUAUUUUUCAACGCGAAUAGCCAUUGUUUUUAUUCCUCUCAAACAAAGCCACCAAUCGAAUGGCGCUAACUGAUGUUUGCGUAAUCAAGACACAACUUCCAAUGCAAGUGUCUACGAUCGUACAAUAGUAAAGUAACCCAACCAAGGGUUGGGUUCGAGUCCCAAGGGAGUGGUUUUGAGAAUUAAUAGAAAAAUAAAAUUAAGUUCUAAUUAGUCAUAGCUAAAUAUAUUAUCGAAUAAGAAGAUGUUAAAUCUAAGGGGUGAGGCAAGCGUAAUUUAUCAAUGGGGGUUUGUCACAAAUAAACAAAAAUUACCUUAAAUAUAAGGAGUACUAAUCAAGGAGAUGGGAUUCUUGGGAUGUGAUAGGAAUACGGGAUAAACUAAACUAUUGGGGGUACAUGCUUUUGAUAAUAAAUCUCUUGAAUAUUUGUGACUAGGCUAGACUAUAGUGGGGGUAAACUCUGUCUCUCGAGCAACUUACCCCAAAUCAACUGGGUUUAUCUCGAACACCAAGUUGCCGCAUGAAGAACAACCUCCUCCUUAUCCCACUUACUCUCUCGAGCUGAGUGUGUGGGAGAAGGACUAGGCUUCACUCUCUCGAGCUGAACCUCAUGUCGACCCAAUCCCACCGGCCAUCAAUUUAGUAGUCUUAGUUUUACGACCUCUCUCUCGAGCAAGCUGAAAACAUAAAUGUGAAAUCGUAUUUGCAACUACAAUUUCAUUAAGUUCCACCACAACUACUAAACGAAAUCACAUCUAGACAACAAAUAAAUCAUCAACAAGCAAGACCCAACAGAUAAUUUAACCCAUAUUCACAAAAUCACACCCCAAGAAUUGGAGUUUUAGCUAGACAUGUAAAAGAGAUAGAAAUUUAUACCAAUAUGAGCUUGCAUUCAAAUGGGUAUGAAGAUUUAAGUCUCAAAACAAUCAAAGAGUGAAGAAUCCACAAGACCCAAGUCCAAAUUCUUGGAGUUGAAACACUUAGAAUCUUCUAGUUCUUUAAAACCCUAUCCAAACUUAGAACUCAAAAUUCUAUGUUAAAAAUUCUAUAUUAAAAAUAUUAUAUUAAGCUACCACUCUCAAUGAGUAUUUAUAGUUUUCAAAAAUAUGUGUUGCAACAGAUCAUUCGGCAUCGUUAGUCGUGAUCACCGAUCAACUCGGCGAUCCACCCUUUGGUAGGUUUUAUCGUCGUCUUUCUCUAUCCUUCAGCAUCAUCAUGUUUUGGAUCAUUGGGCGACAUUGUACUGCUUCGCGGAACUGCUUGGUGACACGCUGACUGCUUCUUUUCACCGCCGAUUUGAUCCUUUCUUUCAGGGUUCAGCACACUGGAACAAAAGGCGAGGAUAAGGACCGUUUGGUGACUCGCCGAACGGGUUCGGCAAUUCACAGAUCUUCAUUUCUUCGUUCUUUUAGCUGCCUUUGUUCCUUUUUGCUAAGUAGUGUCCAUGCUUUCCCUCAAACUCCAAAUACCUAAAACUUAACGGUUUUCAUCAGAUAUUGAGACAAAAUAUGCAUUUGAGGACACUAAUUUUAUACAAAAUACAUACCCUAAAUGAGUCCAAUUUGUGGACUCAUCAACACCCCAACUUAAACUUUUGCUUGUCCUCAAGAAAACUCGAGUUCUGGUGUUCAAAAUGGGUAACUCAAACAAUGCUAUACAAGAAUCAAUCAUAAAUGUAUACAACAAGACUUAACUUACUCAUGCAAGGAUCAAAUGUGCACUCAAAGUUUCAAGUGGUGACAUACCAUUAUCAAAGAAUCUCGAACUCAUAAUACUUGCUUCAAAUGCAAGUUCAAGCUCAACUAUAGUGUUCAAAUGCCCUCACACAAAGAAUGAUCCAUAUUAACACAAUGGUUCACAGUUUAAAGCUUCGGAAUCAUAUGCAACACUCACACUCACAAAGAAGAACACAAUGCAUAAUUUCACCCAUAGUUUUGCCCGUAUUUUCCAAUCAACAUUUGCUUCAGCUCACUCAAGAUCACAAAGGUCUUUCAAGGCUUGUAAUGGGGCUGAGCGCAACUGUAUGGUCAUUUUUAGGCUCAGUGACUUUCAUCCUCAUGAAAUGUGGUGUUCACAACACUUCAUUUCCUUUUCCUUCAUCAUUCUCUUUAGUGCUCAAAAGUCAUCCUAUUAUUCACUCUCCAUGGAUUGUUUGGAAACCCCAUUUAUUUUGUACUUUAUUCCACAACUUUCUUUUUCAUUCUUUUCUUCUCUUUUUUUAAAAAAAUAAUAAUAUUUGGAGGGGUUCCAUUUUUCUCAACACCAUGGGUUAAAGGAGACUUUCCUUGCACUUCUUGACUUGCCCUUAUCUUUUCACCACACCCCCAACUUAGGCUUUUGGCCUAAGUUGGCUGUUCAAUCAACCACAAAUCAAGAGGAUUAUAGGUAGUGGAUUAAGAGAGGUCUAGUUUUCAUCAAGUUUCUUCCAAAGAAAGAGAUAGCAUCACUUAGUUGAUCGGACCAACGGGGCAAAUUCUAGGAUCCAUCAUGCAUAGUUCACAGGUAAGCUCAUCACACUAGGCAUUGACACUAUAAGUGAAACAAGACUCCACACUUUCGCCAGUGUACAACGAUCAUCACAAGAGACUCGAUUUGAUCAUUGGCUAGUCACAACGAGAUGCAAAGAGUUCACAUAUUGUCUAUGCAACUUCAUUUGGCCUCAUUGUAGCCGCACAUUCAUGUUUAUUCGAUUAUAAGCACUAUCCAAGUCAUCGAUAUUGAUCGGAACCGAUACUCAAAUUUGUGAAGGAACAGCCACAUUCAACACACAAGGGGUAGCAAAUUUUUUUUGGAAGGGUCAAAAUCAUUUUGCAAUUUAAAACACGGAGCCACAAGCUCAAACCUUCCACUAAAUAGUGUAUAAAACACAAUUAUAGCUUACAACCCAAAUACAUAAACGAAACAUAAUUCACGAAUAACACACAAAGGUGGGCCUCACCCCACCACAAAUAAAAGAAAUUUGUCCUCAAAUGCAAGUAAUAAAAUAUCUAGAAUGUAAAUUAAAGAAAGACAGAGAAGGAGGUAAAGAGGGGAUCCUGUCUAUGGAGUCUCUCCAUCUGUCUGGGCCUCAGUGCCCGAUGUAGUACUCUGAAUAUGGGCAUCAGUCCCCGAAGUCACCUUAGGGAGAACAACGAUACCGGAUUCACCAAGGUCUGUUGAGUGUGUGUCUGCCAAAAAGAUAUGCACCACUCUGCAAAAUCCCCUGGCCCAUGAUAGAAUAUUAGGGUCCUGGGUAAUGGUCUUCCUGGCAGAAGUGGGCCUUUUGCCCUUGCCUUUCCCAAUAGUUGCGGUCAGUUUCGUAGCUUUGCCUUUCAACGUAGUUGUCUCCUCAUUUAUCGCACUCCCUUUUGACUUCUCUUGUGCUGGUUUUAUUCUUUCCACAACUUUUGAUUUAGUCAUGUCUGCAAAGUCUUGAAGAGAAGUUAGAAAAACUUAAACAAAAGAAAAGCAGAACUUAUGCAGAUAAACUCGCCAAACCAGAUGGCGAAUCGUCGAAUUUCUUAGGCGAGCUAGAUCAGGCUCGCCAAAGGAAUUAGCUCUAACACUGUAGCAAGAAGGUGAAAGGGGAACUUUUUCGGCGGGUCGCCAAUAGUUUUUGGUGAACCAGGAUAGGUCCACCGAAAGUUUCAGUGCAUAAAGGUUCAGGGGUGCAUAUAAAGGGCGAAAGAGAAGACUUUCAGCGAGUCGCCAAAUUCUUUCUACGACAUCAAGCUUCUCGCCAAAAGUUACAAAAUUAAUCAUCAAAUAUAGCAAGAAAUCAAAAGCGAGAUGGGAACAUUAGGCAAACCGCCGAGUGGUUUGGCGAGCUCGACCCAGCUCGCCAAAUGGCCCGACGUGCCUAUUUUCAACCCAACCUCUCGAAUUCAACCCUGCAACUCCCGAAAACAAAAUCAAAACAUGCACCAAUACAAUUAAGGUAGGACCCAUAACACCCAAACACAACCCCUCAAAUUUUAAUCCAAUUUAAGGUAUGCAAUUAUGGGAAUUCAAUAGUCAUAACUACCCGAGCAAGGAUAUCAAAUUAAAUCAUGCACGUAAACAAUCUAAUCCUCCCAGGGAGGAGUAGAACACUUCAACCAGAUUGUGGUAUUGCAAAUGAGUAUAGUUUAUGAUAAAUUAAACUUGGGGCAUAGAGAACUAACAUUUUGUGUCACUAAGGAGAGGAUUGAAAUACUAAGCGGCAAUGCAAUCCAAGUCCGAGCACAAUUUAACAACUAAAAUACUCUAAAAGUUCAAGAAAUAUAGAAACUAGAGUACAGGUGUGAGUUUGGGCAGAUAAAAAGGGAGGGAAAGUGAAUGAAGUUAAAACUUUUCAACCUUUGGCAUGCAAAAACCGUCCAGUUUUCACCCACUCGGCCACAUUAGUCAAGCUCGCCUAAUCACUCGACGGAACGCCGAAUGUUUAGUUUCCUCACCGAAAUUUACAUGUCCUCCAGUUAAUGUGGGGGUCCAAAUCACCAAUUUCCAUCGAGAUCGUUAACAGUGUCGGCGAUGCGCCAAUAAUUUCCUGGGCUCACCAAGUUUUACAGACUCCAAUUUGGAGAUUUCUUACAUUAGACAACAGAUUAGGUCGGGGUCACCGACCUCUUCGGCGAUUCACCGACUGGACCUAUUACUCACCACCCUACACUUUUUCGAACACUUUCCACACUUCGACUUGUACAAAUAACACACCAUUAUUUUACCACAACACAAAUAAAAAGCAUUAAGGGGUUUUGGGUUACCUCCCAAACAACGCCUUAGUUAAUGUCGUGGCACAAUGCAAGUUAAUGCCUUAGUUAAUGUCGGAAUUGGCCAUGGUGUAACUAGGCGAGUCUUCAACAAAUGGUGGAUAGCGACCUGAUAUUAACUGAUUUAUCUAGGCAUCUUGCAACUGAAUUGUCAUGGAGUUAGAGGUUGUCGCUUGAUUCAGCAUGUCGAUGUUCUCUUUCAUCUCAUUCAACAUCUUUUCUUGUUCUUCGAUCUUUUGUUGAAUGUGUGAGAGGAAUCCAUCAUCUUGUACGCCCUCCUUCUUCUUCCCCUUUGUACACUCUCGAAGGGAGAAAUGCUUGUCUUUAUUCAAAGCCUGUGCUUCCAACUCCAUGACUCUUUUGGAUAAAAAAUCCAACUGAGCUAGCAGUGCAUCCCCUUGUUUCUUUUUGGUCUCCUUGUUGGCUUCAACCAUGCCAUCUAGGAGUUCGGCUACGACGUCAUACGGCUAGUGUAGCAUACCACUCGUGAAAGGUUGAUCAACAUUACUUCUAUUAUCGGGUCCAAGACCCCUAUAGAAGCUCUCUAAUAGCACCUUGUUGGUCAUCCCAUGAGUGGGGCAUGGCUGCAGCACUGCCUGAAACUUUAGCCAGAUUUCCUGAAGGUUUUCAUCCUCUACUUGUUUGAAUGUUAGGAGGUUGUCCCUAAGAUUCAACAGUUUCAAGAGGGGGUGAUCCGUUUGAUAACUAUAAUGAUUAUUCGUACUCAUUAUCCUGCUUCUAUACACGAACAAACAAUACAAAACUAAAAAUUAAGUAAACUACGACUAAGAAGAACAAAAAUUCUACUAAUCUAAGAAUUCUCAAAUACACCACUCCCCGGCAGCGGCGCCAUUUUGAUGUUUGCAUAAUCAAGACACAACUUCCAAUGCAAGUGUCUACGAUCAUACAAUAGUAAAGUAACCCAACCAAGGGUUGGGGUCGAGUCCCAAGGUAGUGGUUUUAAGAAUUAAUAGAAAAAUAAAAUUAAGUUCAAAUUAGUCAUAGCUAAAAUAUUAUCGAAUAAGAACAUGUUAAAUCUAAAGGGUGACGCAAACGUCAAAUAUCAAUGGGAGUUUAUCACAAGUAAACAAAAAUCAUCUUAAAUAUAAAGAGUACUAAUCAAGGAGAUGGGAUUCAUGGGAUGUGAUAGGAAUACAAGAUAAAAUAAACUAUUGCGUACAUGCUUUUGAUAAUAAAUCCGUUGAAUAUUUGUGACUAGGCUAGAAUAUAGUGGGGGUAAAUUCUCUCUCAAGCAACUUACCCUGAAUCAACUUGGUUUCUCUCGAACACCGAGUUGCCGCAUGAAGAACAACCUCCGUCUUAGCCCACUCACUCUCUCAAGUUGAUUGUGUGGGAGAAGGACUAGGGUUCACUCUCUCGAGAUGAACCUCAUGUCGACCCAAUCCCACCGGCCAUCAAUUUAGUAGUCUUAGUUUUACGACCUCUCUCUCGAGCAAGCUGAAAACAUAAAUGUGAAAUCGUAUUUGCAACUACAAUUUCAUUAAGUUCCACCACAACUACUAAACGAAUCACAUCUAGACAACAAAUAAAUCAUCAACAAGCAAGACCCAACAGAUAAUUUAACCCAUAUUCACAAAAUCACACCCCAAGAAUUGGAGUUUUAGCUAGACAUGUAAAAGAGAUAGAAUUUAUACCACUAUGAGUUUGCAUUCAAAUGGGUAUGAAGAUUUAAGUCUCAAAACAAGCAAAGAGUGAAGAAUCCACAAGACCCAAGUCCAAAUUCUUGGAGUUGAAACCCUUAGAAUCUUCAAGUUCUUCAAAACCCUCUCCAAACUUAUAACUCAAAAUUCUAGGUUAACAAUACUAUAUCAAAAAUCUGAUAUUAAGCUACAACUCUCAACGAGUAUCUAUAGUUUUCAAAAAUCUGUGCUGCAGCGGAUCAUUUGGCAUCGUUAGUCGAGAUCGCCGAUCAACUCGGAAAUCAGCCAUUUGGUAGGUUUCAUCGCCAUCUUGCUCUAUCCUUCAGCAUCAUUAUGUUUUGGAUCAUUGGGUGACAUAGUACUGAUUUGCAGAACUGCUCGGCGACAUGCGGACUACUCCUUUUCACCGUCAAUUUGAUCCUUUCUUUCAGGGCUCAGUAUACCGGAAUAAAAGGCGAGGAUAAGACCUUUUGGCGACUCACCGAACGGGUUCGGCGAUUCUCAGAUCUUCAUUUUUUCAUUUUUUCAGCUUCCUUUGUUCCUUUUUGCUAAGUAGUAUCUAUGAUUUCCCUCCAACUCCAAAUACCUGAAACUUAAGGGUUUUCAUUAGAUAUUGAGGCAAAAUAUGCAUUUGAGGACACUAAUUUUAUCAAAAUACAUCCCUAAAUGAGUCCAAUUUGUGGACUCAUCACUAACUCUGGACCUAUAUCAUUUUGUAGGAAGUACACCUCCUUCGUCAAGCUGGUUAAGUAGGAAAAUUUAUAAGCAAAUUAUCCGAAGAACACUUGACAUGUUAAAAGAGUAACAAGGCAUACGAUAUUAUUUACGUCCAUUACAAAAUACAUAACUAACUUAAGAUUUUCAGAUAUAGUGUCAAUGAACUGAUUUUUUAAACUUUACUUAACUUUAUCAACAAUAACAAAAAGAAUUAAUAAACUUCAUCGUCAACUAUAGGGUCCUGCAUAGAGAGGACUUCUUGUACCCACUGUAAGCCAUAUGGAUGGGAUCCAUUCUUGACUUGCAUACAAUGUUGUGAAAGGAGACAAGGCUAGGUGAGGCGAGGUUGUAACACCUAAUUACAGUGAGGCGAGGCGAAUUUAAAUACGCGAUGGCGAUGCGAGGGGGAAACUCCUUUUAUUUGUUUUAAAAAAAAGUCUGACUUCAUAAUAUUAGUCAAAAUUAGGGUUUUCUGCAAACUUUCAUUCUCCAUCGCAGGUCACACCUGCCUCUUCUACUCUUCUCCUCAGCCACAAGUCGCGAUUGCUUCUUCUAUUCUUCUCCUUCAUGCGAGUCGCGUCUACUGCCAGGUAUGACUACGAGACCUCUUUUUUUUCUUCUUUCUUUUUGGUUCUUCUCUACUUCUUCUUCUUCUUCAAACAAUUCUCUUCUUCUACUUCUGCUUCUUUUCUCUUUUUUCUUUUCAAUUUUUCUCGUUUCUUCUUCUUCAGUCAGUCAGUUGAACAGUGAACUGAGUGCUCUGUUUUGUUGCUCACCGCUGUCUAUAUUUUUUUUUAAAUUAAAAUUUAAUCCUUUUAUAAUUAUUUCUCCCUUAGUUAAUUUAGUCUUAUACUAAUUAAUAUAGUAUUUAUUUGUUCAUAAAUAGUGAAUUCAAUGGUAUCGGAUGGUAGCAAAAAGAGGAACAUGGAUGGAAUUAUGGUACUCAAGGAUCAACAAAAGAUUUAGUUAAAUGUAUUUUUUGUGACAGUACUUUUAAUGGUGGUAUUACUCGACCCAAACAACAUUUAGUGGGUGGUUACAAAAAUGCAGAACAAUGUCCAUCUUGUUCUUCAGAGAUUAGAGAUGAAAUAACGGCUUUUAUGGAAAAUAAAAUGGCUAGUAAUCCGAAAUUUCAAGUGAGGCAGCAAGAAGAAUAUGUUAAUAUCGAUGAUGAUGAUGAUAUGGAUGAGUAUGGUGAAAUGAUGCCUCCCUCCAAAACUCCAAAGAUGUCUUCUACUGGAGGUGCAUCAUCCACAACACGAAACGUGAUGAAAGGCCCUAUGAAUCUCUAUUUUCCACAAAAAUCACAACAAAACGAAGGCAUUGAAAAAGGAGCAGGAAUUGAUGAAACCAAGAAAAUUCUAAGAGAGCGUGUGGUAAGUGCUUUUGCAUUAUGGAUGUACGAUGCAAUGCUCCCUUUUAAUUGUGUCAAUUACAAAUCAUUUGAUAAGUUCAUUGAGGCAGUAGCACAACAUGGCCCCGGAAUGAAGCCUCCUACAUUCCAUGAAGUUAGUGUUACCCAAAAAGAAGAGGUGAGUAAAGUGGAAAAAAUUGUUGAUGAGCAUAAAGUGCAAUGGACAAAGUUUGGAUGUUCCAUUAUGAUGGACAAAUGGACGGCACGAAAUGGUAAAAUGAUCAUCAAUAUUUUGGUGAAUUCUCCAAUCGGUAGUGUAUUUCUUCGUUCUGUUGAUGCUAGCAAUGAUACCAAUUCCACCAAAAUGUACAACUUGUUUGAAAGCACUAUUAAAAGAAUUGGAUCGGGAAAUGUUGUACAAAUUGUCAUCGAUAAUGCUAGUGAGAAUGUUAAAGCGGGAAGCAUGAUGAUUGGUGCAUACCCACAUAUUUAUUGGACUCCAUGUGCUGCUCAAUGCAUCAACUUGAUAUUUGGUGACAUAUUCAAGAUUAAUCAAUAUGCUUCCGGUAAUAUCACUCUCCUAUCCUCUAACUUUGUUUAUAGUCAAUAUUUAAUACUCAUUCGCUACUAAUUACUAUAAUAUUACUUUAAUAGUUUUUAAGAAGGCCAUCAAAAUUCAUUCUUACAUUAGUCAAAGGCCGUUGUUAAACUUGAUGAGAAGCUUCACCAUAGCUAGUCUGUGGGAGGAGUAUCAUGCAUGUGUUGAGAAGAUGAACCCCGAUAUAGCAAUACAAGAUUAACUAGUCGCUAUCUUCCUAGGUACAAAAUGGCGGAAGGACUAUUUGGUUGUGGUCAGGCUAAAAGAGCAAAAGACACAAGGUCACCGGGUAAGUGAGUUGAUUUAGCUCUAACUUAAAUUAUUUGACCUAUUUAUACUCAUUAACCUUUAAAUUUAUUUUAUUAUAGUUCAAUGGUGGUCAAUAUUGGUAGUCAAACACCAAACAUGCAAAAGUGAGCCAUGAAAGUAUUAAGCCUAACUUGUAGCUCAUCUGGAUGUGAGCGAAAUUGGAGUGUGUUUGAACACGUAAGAAAAAUAUUUUAUAUCCUAAUUUUCAUAUUAUAUUAUUAUUAGUAUCUAUUAGUUAAUAACUUAAUAACUAUAACUUAAGAGCGGAUUCAUUCCAAAAAGAGGAACGUGCUUGCACUAUCGCGUCUCAAUGAUCUAGACAUCUAGUGUACAUUAAGUACAAUAGAACAUUGAAACACCGUUAUGGUGCUCGUGAUAACAUUGAUCCAAUUCUCUUGGAUAACAUUGAUGAUUCAAAUGAAUGGUUAGUUGGAUUCCCUGAAGAUCAAGAAGAUGAACUAGUAUAUGAGGAAGGUUAUCUUACUUGGGGUAGCAUUUUCUAAGGCAAGUAGAGCUUACGAGAGUAUCUAUCAUCUUAGGGGACUUUUUUAAAGAUCAAGAGCACUUGACAAAGGCAAAGGAGUACAUACUACAUCUACAAGUUCAACUUCAAUUAGGACUCAGACUCUAAUUGAUGAAGAAUCCGAGGGGGGAGAAGAUGUGGAGCAAUAUAAUAAUGAUAUAGAGGAUGUUGAUCUUCAAGAGUUGAAUAAUUUUGAAGAAGAACAGACUUUUAGAGUUCUGGUAUUGCUUGUAAAUUGUCUUUUGAAUUAUUGGGUUUUUAAAGUUCUAGAUUUUUAGUAUCUACUAUUAGUUUUUCAAUUGAAAUAGUUGCUAAUAUAUAUUAUUGCAUUUGAGGUUUUGGAUAUUUAAAUAUGCAAUUAAAUAUUUUUAAUUUUUUGUAUUAAUUGGCGCCUCAAUUCAAACACGCGAGCGCCUCGCCUCUCACCUCGUCGCGAGGCGAGGCAGGCCCUUGUCGCCUUUUGUCACGUUUCGCUAUCCAAAACACUGCUUGCAUACAACCCUAAGUAAUUAAACAAAGAUUAUCUGAAGGCUCAUCCUCAGGCCUCAGUGAAGGCCCUUAUUCAAAAAAGAGAAUUAUCGGAAUUGUGAGACUAUUGGCCUUUAUAUCCUUUUAAUCCAGUCAAAAGAAAAUAUAAAUCUUAUUUUUAUAAGAAUUGGAAGAGGAAAAGGAAGAAUGAUAUAAACAUUUCCUACAUAUUGUUGAACAAUUCUAGAGUUUCACUAUGAGUUGGGUAAGUGAUUCAUUGCUAGAGAAACCAAUAAUGGGUCUACUUACAAACUCACGUUCACUAUAGUCAAGCUCGUAAUUUGAUUAUUGGUCUAGGCAACCAAAAAAGACCAUAGAAAACUAAGAAUAUACAAUCAUAAGAUAGCAAUAAAUCAAAUUUUGAAACGUAUGCAAAUAGAGGAAAAACCUUUCUCCUUUGACAGAAAGUACACCAGCUAUGAGAUCACUAUAACCGGAUAUGAACAUAGUAGUUGAAUGCACCACAAUAUCUACAAAACCAUGGACAAGUAAGCUAACAUUCAAUGCAUGUUAUUGGAGAGUAUUCCAGUUAGCUGAACAAAAAGAAUUUGCAAAAUACCUGCUCUGAGCUCCAAAGGAUGGGACAAUACUUUGGAGAUAAUGUUGUUAUCUACUAGCACAAGAGCCCCAUGUGCAUGAGCCAUCUUGGCAAUUUCUGUGAUGAGUCAAAAGAGACAACAAUAUGAGACAAACAAUCAUUAUCUUUUGAAGAUCUAUAGAUUACUAUCUAUCAGCAAUCGUAAAAGCUGAAAAUUGUACGUGCGUAGUCUACAUAUGCAAUUGUCAAUCACCCACAUGAAUAUCACAAAUUUGUUUAUAAGGGUUUGUUGGACUUUCCUGCCAAACAAGCUUUGUCCAUAGUUUAAUCACAAAAGCAACCUCAUCUAAGUUAGCGGUAUCCACUCGCCUGUACAAAUAAGAUAACAAUCAAGAUUCUAAUAACCUAACAAACAACGUAGUUACAUUGACAAUCAUGACUCAGGAAGUUGGGUCGUGACUCAGGAAGUAGGGUCGGACACAUAUAUACUUUAGUUGAGUUGGAUAUGAAACACUCCAACACACUAUAUCCUCGUCUUUCCGUUAGAUUUAGAGUAAGAGGCUCCAUGUCUAUGUUAUUUUGCCUAUGCUUCUUAUUGGUAGUUCACUUUUCCCCUAUCCUUGAGUGCGCUAGUGUCAAGCAAAUUGCUUAUGCUUCCAUCUCUUUAUGCAUUGCUUAUUCUUAAGGUUUUCUAUUAGAUGUGGUAUUCAAAAAGUAACAUUGUUUUGGAACUUAUAUGGUUUUCGUUCUCUAUAGAAUAUGGUUUCUGCCUUACCAAAGCAAAAGAAAUAGCUGCACAUUUACUAUUAUCAACAGGGAAAAAAUUUCUGAGAAGGCAAAUAUCAUUAGGAAGUAGUUUGAUAGGAAAAAAUGAUCACAGAAAAUAGAAAUUGAGCAUAGGAUGAAACUAACAAAAACUUAUUGUAAUGCUGAAGUACUUGGUACCCUAGCAACAUGCUUAAAGAGUGGCACAAAAUCAUUUAGUAAACUUAGCAUUGAUCAUACACCCAUAUCAUGCAAAUUGAUCAACAUUUAAACAGUAAGUCUCUAUUGAGAGCUUCAUGAUGGUAGGACAUUGACAACCAUAGCGCCUUAAUUUAAAUUCCCCAAAAAAUCACUUGUUUGAAAAUGUGAGAGAAGUGCGAUGACUUCCUUGGAUGGUCUAGAAGACUUGGAUAAAUGAGCUUCCCUCGUGAAUGGGAGGAUAAGUAUUCAGCAAUUUUUGUGCAUUCUCCUACAAGAUAUUGAAAUUAAUUAGCUAGAACACUAUGAUGUGCCAGAAUUUUACGAACCACCCAAACUUCUCUGGACAAUAUUAUGAUGGAGAUGUAACACUAUGCAUGCCAUAAUCAUUAAAAUCUAUAAGGUCAAGAAUAAUAGAUUAACAAAGGUGUAGGAAGGCAUAUAUGUUUCUCGAACGAGUGGUGGGACAACUAGUUUCACCACCAAAAUAAGCAAAUAAAAUUAAACCUGUUGUUUUUCAAUGCGAAGAGCCAUUGUUUUGAUUCCUCUCAAACAAAGCUAAAAUUGAAUGGCGCUAACCUAGGACCUUCAGCAUUUUGUAGGAAGUACACCUCCUUCACCAAGCUGGUCAUGUAGGAAAAUUUAUAAGCAAAUUAUUAGAAGGACACUUGAGAUGUUCAAAGAGAAACAAGGCAUCAGACAUCAUUUAUGUUCAAUACGCUAAACAUAACUAACUAAUGAUUUUCCGAUAUAGACUUGUCAAUGAACCGAUUUCUUAUACUUUACUUAACUUUAUCAACAACAACAAAAAGAAUUCUUAAACUUCAUGGCCAAUUAUGAGGGCAGCCAGUGCAUUGAGGAAAAUAAUUUUAAUGUCACGAAAUAUUGCACAAAUUUGUGCAUUACAGGUGUAUAUGAUGCUGCAUAGUAGUUGAAUGCAUCACAAUAUCUACAUAACCAUGGACAAGUAAGCUAACAUCUGAUACAUGUUAUUUGAGAGUAUUCCAGUUAGCAGAACAAAAAAGUAUUUGCAAAUUACCUGCUUCGAGCUCCAAAGGAUGAAAAAGUACUAGGGAUACAAUGUUGUUAUCUACUAGCAUAAGAGCCCGAUGUGCAUUAACCAUCUUGGAAAUUUUCUAUAAUAAAUCAGAAAAGACAAUACUAUGAGACAAAAAAUUAGAAAAGAUGAUACAAUCUCGGAAAUUUUCUGUAAUAAACCAGAAAAGACAAUACUGUGAGACAAACCAAUCAUUAUCUUUUGAUGAUCAAUCAAUAUAUAUUAUCUAUCCUCAUCAGUAAAAGUUGAAAACUAUACAUGCAUAAUCCACAUAUGACUUUGUCAAUCACCAGCAAGAAUAUCACAAAUUUGUUUAUGAGUGUUGGUCAGAAAUUUUGUGAAUGGUUUAAUCACAAAAGCAACCUCAUCUAAGUUAGUGGUAUCCACUCGACUAUACAAAUAAUAUGACAAUCGAGAUUCUAAUAACCUAAUUGAAAACAAAGAUACACCGACAAUAAAAAUUCUAAUCACUGUCCCCUCCGCGUUGGUGGAGGAGUGUUGCGUUACUUGACGUUCUGGAUACGGGUUGGCUUACCUACUGGUGGGCUAUAUUAGGUGCCAUCAUGACUCGGGAAGUCGGGCCCUGACUCAAAUAUACUUUAGUUGAGUUGGAUAUGAAAUAGUCCAAAACACUAUCUCCUCGUCUUUCUGUUAGAUUUAGAGUAAGAGACUUCAUGUCUAGGUUAUUUUGCCUAUGCUUCUUAUUGGUAGUUCAGUUUUCCGCUAUCCUUGAUUGCGCUAGUGUCAAGGAAGAAUUACUAUGCUUCCAUCCCUCUAUGUAUUACUCAUUCUUAAGGUUUGCUAUUAGAUGUGGUAUUCAAAAAUAAACAAGGCAUUACGUUUAAUACGCUAUACAUAAGUCAUAACUAACUAAAGAUUUUCAGAUAUAGAUUUGUCAAUGUACUAAUUUCUUAAACUUUAACUUUAUCAACAACAACAAAAAGAAUUCUUAAACUUCAUGAUCAAUUAUGUUUCAAUUAGAAAAUGCAAUGAGGAUAAUCAUCAGAUUACCUAGAAAGGAUACUUCACCAGUUUAGGCAGAUUUGCCAACUGUUGCAGAACCUGAUGACUAGAAAUCCUUCUUUUCAGUGAAGCGCACCCAAGAAGAUGGAGAGCAACAACAAAUAAAUGCAUACUAUUUUUAGAAGAAUUUUGACUUGUGACGCUACUUAUCUGCCCACGGUGUUUACCACCUUUCAGUUGCUGAAUGUCCCCAGAUUUCCACUCAAGUAAACUUAGUACAGUUGAUGCGACAACCAUCCCAAGUGCAUCCAAACAUUGUUUAACAACAUCAUUCUUCUCCUUAACCAACCUAUCAAUGGUUUAGAGCAAUUUAGAAUUGCAAAACAAUAGUGGCAACCACCUCUUCCCAUUCAUACAAAGUAGAGCCACAGAUAUGAGUACCUUUCCCUUCAAAACUUCACUUCCCUACUCAAUUAAUUAGAGUCAACAGAUGAAGAACAAGAUUCUUGCCUUUGACCAAGGCAAGAUGGUACCUUUCACAAAUUUAAUUAGGGAAAUUUGUGGUUGUCUAUUUUGAUGAUAUCUUGAUCUAUAGCAAAACCAUGCAUGAUCAUGUUGAGCAUUUGAAAUGUGUGUUUGAUGUGCUUAGGAAGGAACAACUUUAUGCUAAUCUUGAGAAGUGAUCAUUUUAUGUUGAUGAAGUUGUUUUCUUGGGUUUUGUUGUGAGCUCAAGAGGGGUGGAGGUUGAUGAGUCUAAAAUAGACGCUAUUAAGAAUUGGCCAAUUCCAAAAUCCAUAAGCGAUGUUAGAAGCUUUCAUGGGUUGGCUAGUUUCUAUAGGUGGUUUGUCAAAGGUUUUAGUACCAUAGCAGCCCCCUUGACCGAGGUAAUCCGAAAGGAUAAACCUUUAAAGUGGGGAGAGGAGCACGCCAAAUAUUUUGAGGCUUUAAAAUCCAUGCUUAGCUCCACUCCGUGGUUGCAAUUACCUGAUUUUGAUAAAAUGUUUUAGGUGGAAUGUGAUGCUAGUAAAGUAGGCAUUGGAGCUGUCUUAAUGCAAGACCAAAAACCCAUUGGUUAUUUUAGUGAAAAGCUAAAAGGUGCUACUUUGAAUUAUUCCACCUAUGAUCUUGAAUUGUAUGAUUUGAUUAGAGCAUUGGGUAAUUGGCAGCACUACUUGUGGCCCAACAAAUUUGUCAUUAGGACUGAUCAUGAGUCCCUAAAGCAUAUUCAGGCCCAAGGGAAGUUGAACAAGAGACACGCCAAAUGGAUUGAAUUCCUUGAAACUUGCCCUUAUGUAAUCCAAUACAAAAAAGGGAAGGAAAAUGUGGUGGCCGAUCCCUUGUCUAGAAAACAUGUGUUGAUAAAUACUUUGUCUUCUAAGUUGAUUGGUUUUGAAUAUUUGAAGACAUUGUAUCCCAUGGAUCCCGUGUUUGCUCAAAUCUUCAAAGAUUGUGAGGAAUGAGAGAGGGAAAGGUGGAUGAGUGAUAGAUCUUCUACUCCCUAUUCCAAGUUUGAUGGUUCUUGUUCAAGGGCAAGAGACUUUGUGUGCCUAUGAGCUCUUGGAGAGAACUAUUUUUGAGGGAGGCACACGAUAGGAUAUUAAUGAAUCAUUUUGCUAUUGAUAAAGCUAGGGGAAUUCAUGAGGAACAAUUCUAUUGGCCAAAAAUGCAAGGAUGUUGUUCGAAUUUGUGGUCAAUGUGUUGAAUGUCGAUGUGGUAAGUCACGCCUCCUUCCCCAUGGUUUAUACACUCCCCUCCCUACCCCUCAAAGACCUUGGCUUGAUAUUUCCAUGGAUUUUGUUUUGGGUUUGCGGAGGACAAAAAGAGAUAGAGAUAGCAUCUUUGUUAUUGUUGAUCGAUUUUCAAAGAUGGCUCAUUUCAUUCCAUGUCAUAAAUUUUUCUUCCAAUGUGGCAUCUUUGUUUGUUGAACAUGUUGUUAAAUUGCAUGGAAUUCCUCAAACCAUUGUAAGUGCUAGGGAUCCAAAAUUCCCUAGUCACUUUGGGAAGGAAUUGUGGGGUAGACUUGGUACCAAAUUGUUGUUUUCAACUUCUUGUCACCCGCAAACCGAUGGCCAAACUGAAGUUGCGAAUAGGACCUUGGGUUCUAUGCUUCGUGCUAUGGUGCAUGGAAAGUUGGCUUCAUGGGAGGAACAUUUGCCUUUAGUUGAAUUUUCUUAUAAUAGAGUUAUUCAUAGAACUAUUGGUAUGACUCCUUUUGAAGUGGUUUUUGGUUUUAAUCCCGCAACCCCUUUAGAUCGCACUCCUCUUUAUCAAGAUCUUGUGUUAAGCUUAAAUGGGAGCAAGAGAGCUGAAGAAAUGAAGAAGCUUCAUGAAAAGGUGCGGCUGCAUUUAGAGAAGAAGAACCAAGAAGUAGCCAAAAAGGGUAACAAGGACCACAAGAGGCUUUUUGUUUUCCAUCCCUUUUCCAAUCUUUCUUUUCUUCCUUCUCAUUCGCAUGGACAAAAGGAUCUACUUCAAAUUAGGGGGGAAAUUAUAUGAUCUGAUUGAAACUAGAUCAACCACAGAUUUUUGGUAUGAAUGGGUGGAGAGUGCAAGGCUACAUAUGAGAAGGAUGAAGCUUAGCAGGGGUGCACUCCUAUGGUUAUGCAAUAGAGUCAAAGAUGCUUCAUCCAUUAAAGGGAAACCAUUUAAGACCUGUAAAUGCAAAGAUGCAACUAUCAGCAUUUACUGUACCUUAAAGUACAAUAGAUAUGGAAAGUUUAUCUCUGUUGUCUCAGUAAAUGGCCUGGCCUAAACAAUGAUUAUUUUACUAGAAAGCUCAUUCAAUGAAGGAUAGGGGGACUUGUCUUAAAGAUAGGCAGGAGUACAAGUCUCUAUUACAGAGCAAGGAGGUCCCACUUCUAUGGGACUCAGGGGAAAUGAUAGUUACAAAGAAAUUAUACAAAGAAAGAAAUGGAGUGCUGGAGAGUAGAGCUUGACUCCUUUCUCUGAAGGAGAAAAAGGACCCCUUAGUAAAUGUUUGGUGGGGAAAUUCCUAGGGUGCGAUGAGAUAGCCACCCGGAGUGAGGUUAUGAGCUAGGCGAAAAAGGCAUGGAUGGGCAUCCACAAUCUGCAGAUCUAUGACAUGAAUUGAACUCAAUUCCUAUUUGAGUUUCAAUCGAGCCGAGAUAUAGAGCACAUACUCAUGGGAGAGUGGGGUCGAAAAAAUCAUCUUCUGCUUCUAUAAUGGUGGACAUUAACGGCAGAAUCUUUUUCGGCACAAACAAACUUUGAGUGGUUCUAGGUGCGUAUCCUAGGUCUACCAUUGUAGCUUUGGAAUGACAAAGUGAUGAAACAAAUUGGAGAUCUUUGUGGGGGAUGGCUGGACACGGAGGAAGAGACUUAAUUGAAAAAUCAUCUACGAUGGUCUCGAAUCCGAGUGCAGGGAUCGAGAGAGAAAAUUCCUUCUUCAGUGGGGCUUAAUGAUGGUGAACUCAUAUUUACACUGCCGUUAUGGGUUGAAUCUCCGGCCAGAUACCGGAGGAAGGAAAGGGAUGAGCCCAAUAAUCGAGGCAGCAAUAUGAGGAGUGAGAAAGGAAAGUCUAUAGAAAACCCUAAUCUACAGUUGAUAGAGAUAGAUGACAGAAUAGGGAAAUCUUUUUCGAAAGAUUGUCCAGUGGUCCUUAGCAAGGAAUCUGGCACUUUUACUAGUAGGAGCCACAUGACCCUUGAAGGAAAUGUGUCAACACAUGUGCAUGGAGUUGACCCAGACAGUCACAAUAAUUUUAUAGGGCAGAAAAUUUGUGGGAAUUGUUGUGGGCCUAUUAAAGCCCAAACCCGUGAUAGCCCAAAUUUCAUUAAAGGGAAAAGUGUUGAUCCCAUUUUAAAAUUUCCUCAAAUAAGUCAAGAAUACACUUUUUUUUCUCGAAAUUCUCCUAAUAACACAGAGCUGGAGUCUGUUAUGAGAAUGAAGAUCAAGAAAAUACAUGGAAGCCAGAAUUCAAGCGAAGAACAUGAGGAAAUUAACAUGCAGAGUGAAGGAAGAAGAGAGAAAAAUGACCUAAUUACCCUCUCUACGGAAAAUGCACAUGAAAAUCGGACUGGAGAAAACAAAGUCAGUUGUCAAUAGGACAUAUUAGAAUAUAUGAGGUGCCAGUGCCAAUUUGGAUGGAAGAACCUUUGUCGGAGCAUGAAAUCGAGGACAAGGCUACUAUCUGGGUGCAAACCAAUGUCCUAAAAUUUAGCAGGAUGUUUGGCGCAGCCUUUGAAGGAUGUGAUAAAAUAGCUUUUGACCUUUUUAUGAAGAUAGCUAAAAAAAGGGGGUUAUUAGAUCAAAAGAAGGAGGCGAACAAAAAAUACACCAAGUAGAACUCUAUUCCUAAAGAACUCAGGAACCUUGAAUUCCAUGUAAAUUUUAAGGAUGGGGAACCUAGAGGUAGGGGGAUAAUAACACCCCUGUUACUCAAAUGAAGAUAAAAAUCAAAUUUUGGAAUGUGAGAGGGUUGAAUGAGAGGGGGGGGGCGGGUAAAAGGUGCUUGGUUAGAGGUUUAACUAAGCAAUGGGGAGCUGAUGUUUAUGUCUUUCUUGAGACAAAACUGAUGGGAGGGGAUGCUAUUUUAUUAGGAGAACUUCAUUUAGAUGUUGUGGGAAGAAGUGGAGGGAUAGUGGUGAAGUGGGAUAAGAGGUACUAGAAGGGGGAGUUGGUAAGGGUAGGAGGGAAAAUGCUUACAUGUAAAUUGAUAGGCAUAGAACAACAUCUUUCUUGGUUUCUAAGUGUUGUCUAUGCUGACUAUAACAUAGUGAGCAGAAUGGAACUAUGGAAGGACCUAACAACAAUUAGAGAUUCUUGUGAUGGGCCAUGGGUUGUGUGCGGUGACUUCAACAUCACUAGGACUCCUAAUGAGAGAACCGGCACUCAAAGUCUAUUUGAGACAAUGGCAGAGUUCAUUGAUUAGAUUAAUGAGAUGGACUUAAUUGAUCCUCCUUUAUUUGGAGGAUCUUUUACUUGGAGAAGCGGGGAAAACCACACAAUGGCGUCAAGAAUAGACAGAUUCCUAUAUUCUAGUCGAUGGGAGGAGUUGUUUCAACAAAUCAGACAGAGUGCUCUUCCGAGAGUAGGUGCAGAUCACAACCCCUUCCUCUUGUAUUGUGGAUAAUGGACUCCAAGGAAAACCUAUUUCAAUUUUGAACAAUGGUGGAUAAGAGUGGAGGGUUUCAAGGAGAAAGUCAUAGAAUGGUGGACAUCCUUUUUAGCUUCCUAUAUGCUGGCACAAAGUUGAAGAUGUUUAAAGGUAAUCUAAAGGAAUGUGGGUUUGAAAACAGAGGUAACUGGAAGAAGGGAAGACAUCCUGAAUCAAAUAGCCAACCUUGAAGAAAUCCAGGAACAAAGACCACUAAAUGAGGAUGAGAUACUUCACAAAGUCAAUCUCACAAACGUGUUUGUAGAAGUGUCUAGGAAUAAGGAAGUAGCAUGGAGAAAGAGGUCAAGGGUAUAAUGGUUGAAACAAUGGGAUAAGAAUACCAAAUACUUCCACACAUUUUGCACAACCCACAGAAGAUAUAACACAAUUGAAAAAAUAGAAGUGGAAGGGGUAACUAUCACUAAACCAGAAGAGAUCAAGCAGAUGAUUGUAAGCAUUUAUCAAAAGCUUUAUAAGGAACCAGAGCAAUGGAGACCAUGUUUAAACUUUCAGGGAUAUGAAGGAGUCAAUGAAGAAGAGAAUGUUUGGUUACAUAGACAGUUUGAGGAAGAGGAAGUUCUAGAAGCACUCAAGUUGUGUGCUAGUGACAAGGCCCCGGGCCUAGAUGGUUUCCCUAUGAGUUUCUACCAGACUUCUGGGAAAUCAUGAAGGUAGAUAUCAUGAAUACAAUGCAACAGUUCCAUGAUCAACAUGUUUAUGAAAAGAGUUUGAAUGCAACCUAUAUAGCUCUAAUCCCUGAGAAAGUAGGAGCUGUUGAAUUAAGAGACUUCAUAUUUAUUAGUUUGAUAAGUGGAAUCUACAAAAUAAUUGCCAAACUUUUAGCAGAAAGACUUAAAAGGUGUUAAGCAAGCUAGUCAAUAAACAUCAAACGACCUUCAUCAAAGGGAGACAUCAUUGACGCAACUUUGAUAGCAAGUGAAUGUGUUGACUCAAGAAUUAAAGGGGACGAUCUUGGCAUUAUGUGUAAAUUGGACAUAGAGAAGGCAUAUGAUCAUGUAAACUGGAAAUUCCUGUUCAAAAUUCUAGAGUAGAUGGGUUUUGGGGUAAAAUGGUCUAUGUGGAUUGGCUUAUGUAUAAAAGCCGUUAGGUUCUCCAUUGCAGGUUUUUUCCGUCAGAAAGAUUACUCAGGCAGGGAGAUCCACUCUCUCCUUUCCUGUUCAUCUUAGCCAUAGAGGGUUUUAACAGCAUGAUGAGAGUGGCUAUUCAAAAUCGUUGGAUAAGAGGAUUUGUGAUUGGCUAUCUUUCAGGGGAUGAGAUGCAAAUUUGUCAUCUAUUAUAUGCAGAUAAUACAAUCAUAUUCUGUGAAGAAAAGGCAAGUUUGAUUUCAUUCAUAAGGAUUACGUUUGUGAUAUUCGAGGCAGUUUCUGGGAUAUCAAUAAAUUAGAGGAAAAGCUGCAUAUUUCCCAUUAAGGAGGUUCCUCAAAUACAAAGUUUGGCAACUAUUUUGCGGUGCAGAGUAGAGCAGCUUCCAAUGCCCUAUUUAGGCAUCCCACUGGAGACAAUUACAAGGAGUUAGAAAUAUGGGAUGGCAUCAUUGAGAAGACUGAAAAGAGAUUGGCUAACUGGAAAGCCCAAUACAUCUCAUUAGGAGGGAGAGUUACUUUGAUAAACUCUAUUUUGGACUCACUGCCUACUUAUGUAAUGUCACUGUUUCACAUCCCUUCUAAGCUGGAAGAAAGGCUUGACAAGCUAAGAAGAUAUUUUUUGUGGUUGGGAAACAAAGAAGUAAAUGGCCGACAUUUAGUUAAUGGAAGGUUGUACAACUUCACAAGCAGUCAGGUGGACUUGGAAUCAGAACUCUGAGAAUUCAAAAUACAUGUCUUCACUCAAAGUGGCUAUGGAGGUUUACCAGUGAAACACAUGAUUUGUAGAGAUAGGUGAUAGUAAGCAAAUACGGUAUGGAUGGAAAAUGGUGCUCCAACUUAGUGAACGACAUCUAUGGAGUUUCAAUAUGGAGAACCAUUAGGAAGUUGUGGCCUAAUCUAAUCAAAAUAUAGACUAUAAAGUGGGAACUAGAACCAAGACUUCAUUCUGGAAUUUGUCGCUAAUGUUUGGUCCCAACAGGAAUGGAACAUUAUGUUUAGAAGAUUCCUUAAUGAUUGGGAUAUUGGUAGAGUCGUUGCUUUAUUACAAAUAUUGGAUGGGUUUACAGGGACAACAAUGGAGGAAGACUCUAUUAGAUGGAGACAUAGUAGUGAUGGGGUGCUAUCAGUUAACAGAUGAUAUAUCAAGGAAGUGAAAGAGUUUCAAGGUGGUAAGAUUGGUCCCUCGAACCAGAUAUGGAAAACCAAGGUAACAGCCAAGGUGAAGUGUUUCUCCUGGCUGGUGGCAAGGAAAUGUUGCUCCACUCAUGAAAGAUUAAAGAAGAGAGGCUUUCACAUUGCUUCUUGGUGCUCCCUAUCUAAUGAAGUUGAGGAAACUAAUAGACACUUGUUCCUAUAUUGCAGAGUGACAACAUUAUUAUGGAACUUAUUUUUAGGCCUAACACAAACAGAGUGGACAAUGCCGUAACACACAACAGAUUUACUCAAUUGCUAGAUCAGAAGAGGGGGGAGUUUUACUCAGAAAAAAUGGUGGAGUAUGAUUCCAUCAUGCAUAUGGUGGUCCAUAUGGAACGAGAGAAACAAUAGGUUUUUCGAAAACAAGGCUAAUACUUUUGAUAAGGUUAAAUGGUUGGGUAUGACAACCUUUUAUUUUUGCUGUAAAGAAGAAGGAAUAGAUCAAAAUGCACAAAUUUAUAGAUUUUAUAAAAAAUAUGUAAUGUAGUAGUUGUUUUGUCUUAGAUUGAAAUGAUGUAAAUGUUUUGGAGGUCUCCAGCAUGUCCUUAAUGCUGAUGAAUACAACCUUACCCUUAUAAAAAAAAAGGGACCACAAGAGGGCUGUGUUUGAACCAGAUGAUUGGGUGUGGGUACAUUUUUGCAAGGAAUGAUUCCCCACUCAUCGCAAGACGAAAUUGAUGCCAAGAGGUGAUGGACCAUUUCCGGUGCUUGAAAGACUCAAUGUCAACACCUACAAGGCUAACCUUCCUCUAGAGUAUCAAGUGCAUAACACUUUCAAUGUGUGCGACCUGUCACAAUUCCCAACAGUUGAUGAUGAUGAUCCGUCGAAUUUGAGGACAAAUUAUUUUCAAGAAGGAGAGAAUGAUGUAAUCUGGAUACAUCAAUAUCAUACACACGGAGUCAAGCUCGAGACCUUCACAAAAUGCAAGGUUUAUUCAUAAAGUUAGAGGUCUUUGAGCUCAUGUUGAUGGCAAACAAAGGGUUCCAUGCCUUGAAGAUUGCUUGAGGAGAUGCUACUACUUUUGGCGAGCAGGAGCCAGUUAGCGCACCGCCCAAUGGCUUGGGAGAUGGCCCCAGCUCGCCUAAGGUUCCAGAACAUGGCUAGAGCGUGAACCAAGUAGGAACCACCGCCAAACCAGUCGGCGUACUGCCAAGUUCCUUAGGCGAGCCCUAAGGAGGUAGAACAAUGGAGACCUGAGUUGAGACUGCAAGAGGCUACAAUGAUCACUGAAGAAGAAAAAGUAUGGCUGCAGGGACUUUUUGAGGAAGAAGAGAUAAGGGUAUGUUUGAACUUAUGUGUAAAGGAGAAAUCCUCGAGUCCUGAUGGAUAUCCGAUGGUAUUCUUCUAGACUUUUUGGGCCCUGUUGAAGGAAAACAUCACCAAUACAAUUUAAUUUUUUCAUUCUAAUCAGAUUUUUGAGAAAAGUUUUAAUGCAACUUUUAUUGCUUUAAUCCCAAAGAAACCUGGAGCAUCAGAGUUCAAGGAUAUUAGGCCAAUCAGCCUGGUGGAGGGAGUCUACAAGAUCAUUGCUAGAUUAUUGGUUGAAAGGCUAAAAAAGGUGGUGUCUAAAUUGAUCAACAAACAUCAAAUGGCUUUUGUAAAGUGGAGGUAAGUCAUGGAUGCAACACUCAUUGCUAUUGAAUGCAUUGACUCAAGAAUGAAAGGAGGACCCCCUGGUCUAAUGUGCAAAUUGGAUAUUCAGAAAGCCUAUGAAAACUUGAAUUGGUCUUUCCUUCUGAAUACUCUUAGACAAAUGGGAUUUGGCAGCAAAUGGAUGAAGUGGAUUGAGGUAUGUAUAAAAACAGUCAAGUUUUUUGUCCUUGUGAAUGGGGAACCCGUGGGCUUUUUCGAAUCAGAAAGAGGGCUGACAUAGGGUGAUCCUCUUUCCCCUUUCUUAUUCAUUUUGGCAAUGGAAGGCUUUGAUAGUAUGAUGAGGAUUGCAACACAAAACAGAUGGAUUAGAGGCUUUCAGGUCGGAGAUACAGUGGGAGAAGAAAAAGAAGUGUGUCAUAUGCUCUAUGCGGAUGACACUAUCAUCUUUUGUGAACCUACAACAUAAUAGAUUAGCUACAUCAGAGUGAUUUUGGUUUUGUUUGAAGCAGUUUCAAGGUUGAAAGUAAACUGGGUAAAAAGUAGUCUCUUUCUGAUAAAUGAGGUCCCUCAGAUCUAGCAACUAGCAAAUAUAUUGGGAUGCAGAGUGGAGCAUUUGUCUACCAUAUACCUGGGAAUUCCCCUGGGUAGCAAACAAAAAACAAUGGAGAUAUGGAAUGGCAUUCUGGUGAAAACAGAAAAGAAACUUGCUAGAUGGAAGGCACAAUAACUAUCCCUAGGGGGUAGAUUGAUCCUCAUAAACUCUGUUCUGGACUCUUUGCCAACCUAUGUGAUGUCCUUGUUUCCAAUCUCAACAAAGGUGGUGAAAAAACUAGACAAGCUUAGAAGGAACUUCCUAUGGAAAAGAAAUAAGGAGGGAAAGGGUUAUAAUUUAAUCAACUGGAAGAGUGUUCUUCUUAGCAGAGAAAGAGGGGGUUUAGGGAUCAAAAAUUUGAGGAUGCAAAAUGAAAGACUUUUGAUGAAAUGGCUAUGGAGAUACACUGAGGAAGAUGCAACUCUCUGGAAGGAGGUUAUAGUAUCAAAAUAUGGAGAACUAAUCCCUGGUGUACAAAAAUCACUUCUGAACCAUAUGGGGUGGGGCUAUGGAGAACAAUCAGGAACCUAUGGUCACAAAUGGAAGGAAAUAUGUAUAUGAAGGUGGGUAAUGGAAACAAAACUAAAUUUUGGAAAGAUGGUUAGAUAGACCAAACGUCUCUUACAGAACUUUUUCCAGAUUUGUUUCUAAUCUGUGAGAACCCUAAUGCUAGAGUGAGUGAUUAUUGAAUAGAACAGGGAUGAGACAUAUCUUUAAGAAGACUACUUAAUGACUAGGAGGUGGUGAGGAUGGCGGCCCUACUGGAAAAACUAGCUGGAAUGAUUAUAACCACAACAGCAACAGACAAGAUCCUGUGGAAACAUAGUAAGGAUGGAGUCUUCUCAGUCAACAAUGCCUACAAAAGAGGAAUACUGGGGACGAUAGGGGCCCCAAAAUAUAAUUGGAACUACUUUUGGAAGAGUGACAUUCCUACAAAAGUAAAGUGUUUCACCUAGUUAAUGAUAAAGAGAGCAUGUUUAACAGAAGAAGUUCUACAAAAGAAAGGCAGACAACUGGUCCCUAGAUGUUUUUUUGUGCAACUUCACAGGGGAAACAAAUAACCAUCUCUUCCUGCAUUGUAAGUUUACUACUCAAAUUUGGAACUUGUUUCUCAACAUCAAAAGCAUGAAAUGGACAAUGCCAGAACAUACAUCAGAUCUGUUGAGCUGCUGGAUUAGGAGAGGAGGCAGUAAGAGUCAAAGAGAUGGUGGAAGCUAAUACCAUCAUGUGUAUGGUGGUCAGUCUGGAAAAAAAGAAAUGGAAGAUGUUUUGAAGACAGAUCCAAUUCCAUCCACAAAAUUAAAUGGAAUUGUAUAGUAUCUCUACUUUUUUGGUGUAAACAGCUUUGUAUAGAUGAUAUAGACCAGAUUAUAGAUUUGAUAGGAAAUCUGUAAUUAUCCAUUUUUGGAGGUGGCCAACAUACCCUUAAUGCUGAAAAAUUCAACUUUACCAGUUUAAAAAAAAAAGAGUUCCUUAGGCGAGCCCAACUUGGCUCGCCCUUUAUCCUUUCGGGUCACUUUUGUUCCUUUUUCACCUAAAACUAUAAAUAGCUAGUUUGGGUUCAUUUUAGACUUACACUAUUUUGAAUAUUGAUGUUGAAAACUGAAAAACUCAUGUUUGAGUGUUGAGAGCUUGGAUAAGCUUUUGUUGAUUGUUGUUUAGAAUCGUCAGUUCCUUGGGAUAUCGAUUCCCUUGAGGUCGUCAUAAGAGUUAGGUGCUAUAGUUGGAUUAACGAAUCGAGGUCUUAUGGUUUAAUAUACCCUUUGGUUGCUUUUUGUUUCCUGUUGCGUGUCUAUUUAUCUAUCUUUACUUUCUUGUAUUUUUAUUUCCGCAUUGUUUUGUGAUUCCCUUUUAGGAAUUUCAUCAAUGCGUCUUCUCUUUUUUGGCAACUCUUAAAUUUCAUCUUUUCACAUGACAUGUUUAAGACAACGAGAUUGAAGAACAUUUGGUUCAUUCGACAUAUCCUUAGUUUAAGUUCACAAGAUUUCAAAGUCUUCUUUACUUUCUUAAAAUCCAUUCCAAGUCAAAACAAGACAAAAAUUAAUAUGGAGGGAGUAAUUAACUUGAAAAGUUGCACCAAUAAGAAGUUACAAAAACAAAGAUAUCUGCCAACAGGAUGAGGGUCGUCUAUCCUCAGAUGGAGAUUCCAAUGGUUUAUUAUCCUGACCAUGGUCAUUUUGAGUAGAUAUAUAAAAUAGUAAUUAGCCCAAAGCAGCCAUGGAAAACCUUCUCACUUUCUCUUUCCUGUCUCUCAGACCAUCAGUUAGUGCACCUAAUAUUCCAGAAUUUGCCAGCGCAUCCCCAAAAAAAGUAGAGUCACGAAUCAACAAGCCAAUACAUGAAGCAAGUUUAACAUGCAACAGAGAUACCUUGGAGUCCCGAAAUAUUUUGAGUAGAACCAAUACAAUAGACCCAUUGGUCAAGUGUAUCAAAUGAAACUGAAGGAAUUGCAUUUGAACCUUUAUCUGAUUUUCUGCUAGGUAUUAUUACAGGUCUGGCUGAGAGAUCAAAUAGAUGCCAAAUAAUAUCUGAAAAGUUCGUAGAUGGUUUUGAGAUAUCAGAGAAAUAAUAUUUUUAUAAGAACUAGAAGAGGAAAAGGAAGAAUGAUUGAACUUCCACGUCAGAUUAUUGGUCAAAAGCACUUUCAAAACGCUUACCUUUAAUGAAAUUCCAAACAGUUAUGCCAGCUAUUUAACUUUUCCUUUGUUCACUUCAGGGCAAAAAGGAGGGAAGAGAGUGGUGAACUACCUGGGAGGAAGGUGUCUUUUAUAUAUCACUCAAUUUUCUUGCAAAUCCAAAAUCACACAGCUGCCAGGAAACAAAUAGAACUCCAACGUCAUAUAACUAGUCAAAAGCAUUCAUCAUUAUGUGGAAAAGUCGCAACAUAAAUAUCACCAUACCUUUGCGAUUCCAUUUUCAUCCAAUAGGAUGUUUGAUAGCUUUAAGUCACAGUAAAUUAUUCCCUUUGAAUGCAAGUAUCUGGUAUAGUAGACAAAAUACCAAAAAAGUAAUUCUUGCCAAAAACAACAAGUGUUACAAAAGAACAAUGAAGGCUAAAGUUAUUUACUUACAAAAGAGCUCUAACAAGGCCACAAGCAACUUCAUGUAUUGAAUAUUCAGGAAGCUUGCCAUCCUUCAAGCAGAGAUUAAAUGAUGUUAAAAAUCUCCCAGGUGUGGUUUAAACUAACAUACAGGUAAGAUGAUGUAGAUACGAGUUGUGACAUUACCAACUACAGUAAACUGGGGUCAUUUUGACUACUCUUUAAAUACAAAUAAAAAGAGAAACCUAUUUCUUUCACAUCAUUUUACUAGCAUUAGAAACAAGUUAGUGCAAAGAUUGAGAACCUUUAUUUGUGAGAAUACAAACAAUCAUCUCUAUUAAACUGUUCAAUCACACAUGACACUGAUGUCCUUAGUGCCUGUUUGGGAAAUCCCAAUGUAGGCAUGCAACAAAUUUACCAUGGAAAUUCAAAAUCCCAUGCCUCCACUAAAAAAAGACCAAGAAGAAUUAGGGUGUUGUCACAAAUUUUGGAUGUUCGUGUCUAAUGUCGGCAUAAGGAAUCCUAUAUUACAACACUGUAUUUAUACCACUGGAACAAUGAAAUGUAUUUAUAAGAUAGCAAAUCUGCCAGUGCUUACCUAUUGCAACAUACUUAUGAGAUUUCAUCCAACACAAUAUUCUAAAACCAACCACAAGUGUGGAGAUAUUUCAUACCUAUGGAUCGGUUGAUUAAAAAAUAACUCAAAUAAAUCUUCUUAUUAAACACCAAAAUGAUCUUUACCAUCGAAUCGGGAUUGAAGAAAAAGAAAGGAGUUACAUGCAAGAGAGGAAAAAGAAAUAUGAUCAUUUGUUCAUGAGACUUCAAAUUUAUGCCACGGAAUAGAAACACUGUGUUUUGACUCAUAUAAUUUCCAAUAAUCUCAUAAUUACAAUAGUCACAAGCAUCAACAAUCCUUAACAUCUAGAAAUAUGAUGAGGCAAGUUGUUUUAUAAGACCACGCUUACUAAAAUCAUAUACAUUCAUUCUGAAGUAGUUUAGUUGCUUUUGAAGAUUUGCAAGAACUACAAAUAAUGUUAAAACAAUUGAGUACGCUGAUCCAUUAGCACUGUAGAAUAGCAGGCACCAUUAGAAUUUUACCGCAACUCAAUGCAUAUAACUUACAAGAAAACCUGUUGUAAGUAAACGGUUUCUAAAGUCCAUACUGAAGAGGGUUCACGGAUAAUUACCCUGUAAUAUCACAUUUUCCCUCUAUAUCAAUUCCUCUAAAAAAGUUUACUACAAUUAAAAAUCAAUAAUAUUAUGAAGUUCUCAAAUUUCUAAGAGAGCUAUUGGGUAGCUAAUAUAUUUUGCAGCUUGGUUCCCAAUUAAAUCGUAAAUUCUCAUCUUCCCAAUAUGGUGGCCUAGCAAUCAAAUAGAUCAACUAACAGCUUGGGAACUAAGGUUCAAAUUAAUAUGAGAUAGCAAUAACAAAAUGAACAUGCAAUAGACUUGGAGAAAACUACCUUAAGUAAUUUUAGAUUCAUCGAUUUCCUCUUCAUCUUUUUUAGUCACAGUGAUGCUCUCCUAGCUCUCUAUUUUCUGUUUAUGGCUUUGAGCAUAUUUGGCAGUAAGUUCUUGUUCCUUCCUCUCAAUGUCGAAUUUAUUCAAAUUUCUUCAAACUCCUCAUCACAUUUUCAGCUCUUGACCUCUUUUUGCCUCAAGUUCACUUGGUUUCUUCAAAUAUCCUAAAUCAACUUUCCAUUUUAUUUUAAUGAAAAAAUGAAAAAAACCACGUUAAAACACGAACUCUAAACUAAAGCAAGCCAAAAUAACUACGAGAAGAGCCUCAAAUGAGUGGAACUCCACCACUCAUUAGCACCCCCAACUUAGAAACUUUGUUUGUCCUCAAGUAAAAAAAAUCAAAAACACAAGAGGCUCUUAUUUCAUUACACACAACAAAUCAAUUUCCCUUUCUCAAUUAAACACACAAAGGUAAUGGCUUCGGUUGGUAAUAACAAAUAUUCCACAUGCAAACUUUUCACAAAAGAAAUCCUCUCCUUCUCAUGGAACAUUUUCAAAAACCAUUUAAGUGACAACCACUCAAACUCAAGAAAUGACUCAACUCAUUAACUCUUUCGUAUGCUCACUUGACUCAAUUAGGAAUUUUCAAAAUUACAACUUUUUCAACUUACAUGCCAUCACAAGAAAGAAGUGUCCCAAAACAACACACACAUAUAAACAAGAUAAUGGGGCAAAGAUGCAACACUCACACUCACAAAGAAUCAUCUCAUACACACAUUUAAGUGACAACCACUCAAACUCAAGAAAUGACUCAACUCAUUAACUCUUUCGUAUGCUCACUUAACUCAAUUAGAAAUUUUCAAAAUCACCACUUUUUCAACUUACAUGCCGUCACAAGAAAGAAAUGUCCCAAAACCACACACACAUAUAAACAAGAUAAGGGGCAAAGAUUUAACACUCACACUCAAAAAGAAUCAUCUCAUGUACACAAAUGUCACAGCAUAGGAUUGCCCAUAUUUUUAAUCAACAUUGACUCACCUCCAUUUGGUUAGAAAUCUCAAAGGACUUUGGCAAGGUUGCAGUCUAAGCUUUGGGAAGGUAAGGAUAUUAUUUAGGUAUAAGUGACUACACCCUCCUUGAUCACUACACAACAACUCAUCAUUUCCAACUUUCUCCACUUUUCUUCACCUUUCAAACCCAUGCACAUUCCACACUAUUUUUCAUUUUUCUUUUCUUAUUUCCACUCUAGAUGUCCCACAUGAUACCCAUUUCAACUUUUGGAGGAUUCAAGUCUCAUUUAUUCAUUUUCUUUCUUUCUUUUCAAAGCCUUUUCAUUCUUUAAGACUUUCCAUCCAUCCUUUAAUUUCUCUAUUUUUUUUAUAUUAAGCCCUUAUGUGGUAAGCAUCCCUUCAAUGAAUUUCCUAUAACAACCCCAACUUAGACUUUUAGCCUCAACUUUCACAACCUCAAGUUCAAGGAGGAAAGGGUUCAAAAGAGGGUUACUUUUUCAAAAAGGAUAAGGCUUGUAAUGUGCUUGCCAAUAAAAAGCAUUAGGCUCAAAGGGGACAACUAAGGAUAUAUUUAGUGCAAAGGUGGGAUUUUUAGGCCAAGUGGACUUCAAUAACAUCAAAGAAAGCCUAUGAUCAUUUCUCCAACCAAACUAAAUCAAGCCCAACAUUUCAAGACCAACUGGAAAAGUUCUAGGUGACAAAAGCAAACACAAGGCAUUAUCAACAACCCACCACACAUGGCCUGCAAAUCAAUCAAGAUGGUUCAGAAUCUUACUUCCUUUUCAAAAUACAAGUAGCAUUGAACAUUUUAACCGCUAACGAUUCAAAAUUCACAAAACGAGUUGUAAGAGUUGUCACAAAAUCAUUCAUAACAUGCUCAACCUUUUAAAAAUAGAGAGGUAUGCUCAAAAUUAUUCACAUGCAUGACUAUGUUCUUAGCACCAACCAAGUCAAAACCUUCCUGAAUAGACUACGAUUUUUCCCUUAUAAAAGUUAACCAAUCCAUCAUCAGGCAACCUCAUGCAUAUCUUCCGGAAUGGUUACUCAAACUUCGCCCCAAUCAAUGCCAAUCAAACAAUCACAAGUAAUCAAUGAUUUACCCUUAAGGAAGUCGUCACUCUCUAUCCAUCAUUGGGUUUCAUCAAUUCAAAUUUUAUUAUCAAAACAAAAACAAAGAAGAUACAAACUACAAAUCAAAAACUAGAAUAGACCAAUCCAAUAACAUAUCAACAGAAACAUCCACAAUAUCAAAGUCCGACAAGGGCACAACAAUCCAUAACAAAGAAAGAAAAGUAUGCCCGAAAAGGAAACAAUCACAUUAUGCAGAAACAAUCAACAAAAUGACUACAAGGGUGGCAUCCCCAUCUCAAAAUGAGAUUGUGUCCUCACUUGGGGUAAAGUAAUCAUCAUAUUUUUAGGCACAUUUUUCCUAUAGGAACCUGCUCUCCUAAAAAACACUCUUCCUCCUCAAUUUCUGGAGCCAUUUCUUGAUCAUUCGAAUUGGUUUCGAAAGCCAUUUUUAGUUCCAAAAACCUAAAAAUGAAGCCAACAUGUCAAAAGUUCUUGUGGACGCUUGAAAAGUGUAUUAUGAAGUAUUUAAGCCAAACAAAUCAUCAAAAGAAGGUUCGAGCUAAGCUAUGCGAAGCUACUAUUUUGGGACUGCCAUCAUUGUCUCCUCCGUGUUCGCGGAGAAGUGUCGCGUUACUUGUCAUUCUGAGUACAAUUUGGCUGACCUACUAGUGGUUUAUAGUAGGUGUCAUCGUGACUUGGGAAGUCGGGUCAUGACACAAAUAUACUUUAGUUGAGUUGGAUAUGAAAUAAUCCAACACACUAUCUCCUUGUCUUUCUGUUAGAUGUAGAGUAAGAGGCUCCAUAUAUAGGUUAUUUUUCCUAUACGUCUUAUUGGCUGUUUAAUUUUCCGUUAUCCUUGAUUGCCCUAGUGUCAAGGCAGAUUGCGUAUACUUCCACCUCUUUAGGCAUUGCUCAUUCUUAAGGUUUGCUAUUAGAUAUGGUAUUCUAAAAGUUGUUGUUUGAUACUUCUAUGGUUUUCAUCCUCUAUAGAAUAUGGUGGUUUCCGUCUUACCAAAGCAAAAGAAUAGUUGCAUGUAAACUAUAAACAACUGGAAAAGUUUGAGAACGCAAAUGUCAUUAGGAAGUCGUUUGAUAGGAAAAAAUGAUCUUAGAAAAUAGUAAUUGAGCAUAAGAUGAAACUUACCAAAAUUUACUGUAAUGCUGAAAUACUUGGUAGCCCCAACAACAUGUGCCAAAGAACCUGUCAGAAAACUCAGCACCGAUUCUGCACUCAUAGCCUUCAAAUUGAUUAACAUUUAAAAAUGAAGUUUUAAGGGAGAGCUUCAUGGUGGCAGAAUAUCGACAACCAUAGUGCCUUAGUUCAAAUUCCCAAAAAAAUCACAUAUCCAAAUACCUGAGAGAAGUACAAAGACCUCCCUGGAUGGUCAUGAAGACCUGCAUAAUUAACCUUCUUCACUAGUGGAUGGGAAGAUAAAUAUUCAGUAAUAUUUGUGCAUUCUCCUGUAAGAUUUUGAAAUUAUUUAGUUAGAACACUGUGAUAUGGUAGAAUUUUACGAACCAACCUAACUUCUCAGCACAAUAUAAAGAUGAAGAUGCGGCAAUAUUCAUGCUAUAAUCAAGAAAAUCUAUAGGUUCAAGAAUAAUAGAUUAACAAAGUGCAAAGACCUCCCUGGAUGGUCAUGCAGCCCUGUAUAAUUGAUCUUCUUCACUCGUGGAUGGGAAGAUAAAUCUUCAGUAACUUUUUGUGCAUUCUCCUGCAAGAUUUAUGAAACUAGCCAAAAUUGAUUGUAAUGCUGAAGCCUCGGCAACAUUCUUAAAGAGUAGCGCAAUAACUGUCAGUAAACUCUGCACUGAUCCUGCACCCAUAGCGUGCAAAUUUGAUCAACAUUUAAAUAGUAAGUCUCAAUUGAGAGCUUCAUGGUGGCAGGAUAUCGACAACCAUAGCGCCUUAGUUUAAAUUCCCAAAAAAAUCACUUGUUUGAAUAUGUGAGAGAAGUGAAAAGACCUCCCUGGAUGGUCUAGAAGACUUGCACAAAUGACCUGCACUCGUGGAUGGGAAGAUAAAUAUUCAACAAUUUUUUGUGCAUUCUCCUACAAGAUAUUGAAAUUAAUUAGUUAAAACACUGUGGUGUACCAGAAUUUUACGAACCACCCUAACCUCUCUGCACAAUAUUACGAUGAAGAUACAAUACUAUGCAUGCCAUAAUCAUGAAAAUCUAUAGGGUCAAGAAUAAUAGAUUAACAAAGGUGCAUGAAGGCAUAUAUGUUUCUAGAACGAGUGGUGGGACAACUAAUUUCACCACCAAAAUAAACAAAUAAAAUUAAACCUGUUAUAUUUCACUGCGAAGAGUCAUUGGUUUGAAUCAUAUCAAACAAAGCUAACAAUCGAAUGGCGCUAACCCUGGACCUUCAGCAUUUUGUAGGAAGUACACCUCCUUCGUCAAGCUUGCCAAGUAGGAAAAUUUAGGGAAAAGGGUCAAAAAUACCCUCAACUUUGUUUUAUUGGUUGACUAAGCCCUUGCCGUGAAAAUGAAGUUAGGUUUACCCCUACCGUUACUAAUUUAACCAUAUAUACACCUCAUUUGACGAAAAGUCCGAAAUUGACUCAAAUUAACCAAUUUGAAUUGAAAUUACCCGAUUUCCUAUUUUUGACCCAAAUUCGAAUCCAACCCACAAACCAAAACUCAUGAACAAAUUAAAUCCCAAAAUCAAUUUCUUCUUCUUCUUCCUCCCUGAAUAAAAAAAAAUAUUUUCAUCUCCUUACUCCAUAUAAACAUCAUACAUUUGCAACAACAUAUAUUCUUGUGAGCCAAUAUUAAUGGUGGAUGAGAGUGAUGAGCAAUUGAAGAAGACUAUAAAUGCAAAUGUGGAAAAUGGUAUUUCUGCAAAAUCUAAACUUGGUUCUUCUUCUAGUGAUCAAGUUGAUACACAAACCUCGGAUUCAUCGAAUGGGGUUGAAGAAAGUGAUGAAGAAAUGUGGAUGGGGCAGUGGAAACAAAUUUCAGGUGAUAAAGAAGUUAAAUUUUCGCAAAAAUUGGGCGUUCCUGUUGUUGACAAUUACUAAUGGUUUUUUGUUUGGUGAAUUUAGAGAAUUGGAUGAUCUUAGUAUUUAUGUUUGAGAUAACUAUAGUUCCAUAAAUAUUAUGUUCUAAACUUGCAGCAAUUUCCAGUGAUUAGUUCCAAUUUGUGAAUAUUAACAGGGGUAAUUGCAAGUCAAUGAUUAAGUGUUCAUGUGUUAUGGAAUUUGUUGUAAUGAUUAAAAUUUUGAAUGCAGCAAUAGGGAUUUGAUCCUCAAAUAAUAAUAAAAAAAUCUUCCAUCCGCAAUAAGUGAAAUUUUUUUCAUCUUCUUUAGAUUUUCUUAUUUUUGGAGAUUGAUUUGAAUUUGUAAGGUUAGUAGUUGAUUUAGAUGAUUUAAAAUGAUAUAUUUGUUUGGGUUACUUUUUUGUUGGGUCGGGUGUGGGUUAGAAUAGGGAUGAUGAUUUUUUUUUUUUUGGGUAAUUUACUCUGAUUUGGGAUUUUCCGUCAAAUGAGGGAUACAUAUGGUGAAAUUAGUAAUGGUAGGGGUAAAACUAACUUCAUUUUAACGGAAAGGGCUUAGUCAACCAAUAAAACAAAGUUGAAAGGUAUUUUUGACCCUUUUCCCAAAAAUUUAUAACCAAAUUAUCAGGACACUUGAGAUGUUCAAAGAGAUACAAGGCAUCAGACAUCACUUACGUUCAUUACGCUAAACACAACUAACUAAAGAUUAUCAGAUAUAGACUUGUCAAUGAACUGAUUUCUUAUACUUUACUUAACUUUAUCAGCAACAACAAAAAGAAUUCUUAAACUUCAUGGCCAAUUAUGAGGGCUUCCAAUGCAUUAAGGAAAAAAAUUUCAAUGUCAUGAAGUAUUACACAAAUUUGUGCAUUAUAGGUGUAUAGGAUGCUGCAUAGUAGCUGAAUGCAUCACAAUAUCUACAAAACCAUGGACAAGUAAGCUAACAUCCGAUGCAUGUUAUUUGAGAGUAUUCCAGUUAGCGGAACAAAAAGUAUUUGCAAAAUACCUGCUUUGAGCUCCAAAGGAUGAAACGGUACUGGGACACAGUAUUGUUAUCUACCAACAUAAGAUCACCAUGUGCAUGAGCCAUCUUGGAAAUUUUCUGUAAUAAAUCAUAAAAGACAAUAGUAUGAGACAAAAACAUCAUUUUCUUUAGAAGAUGAAUCAAUAAAUACUAUCUAUGAUUAAUAGUAAAAGUUGAAAACUAUACAUGGACAAUCUACAUAUGCCAUUGUCAAUCACCCACAAAAAUAUCACAAAUUUGUUUAUGAGUGUUGGUCACAAAUUUUGUGAAUGGUUUAAUCACAGAAGCAACCUCAUCUAAGUUAGUGGUAUCCACUUGCCUAUACAAAUAAGAUGACAAUCAAGAUUCUAAUAACCUAAUUGAAAAAAAAGAUACAACGACAAUAAAGAUUCAAAUCAUUGUCCCCUCCGCGUUGGUGGAGGAGUGCUGCGUUACUUGACGUUCUGGGUAAGGGUUUGCUUACCUAUUGGUGGGCUACAGUAGGUGCUAUCGUGACUCGGGAAGUUGGGUCCUGACUCAAAUAUACUUUAGUUGAGUUGGAUAUGAAACAGUCCAACACACUAUCUCCUCGUCUUUCUAUUAGAUUUAGAGUAAAAGGCUCCAUGUCUAGGUUAUUUUGCCUAUGCUUCUUAUUGGUAAUUCAGUUUUCCCCUAUCCAUGAUUGUUCUAGUGUCAAGGAAAAUUGUCUAUGCUUCCAUCUCUUUAAGCAUUGCUCAUUCUUAAGGUUUUCUAUAAGAUGUGGUAUUAAAAAAGAAACAAGGCAUCAUACAUUAUUUACGUUCAAUCGCUAUACAUAACUAACUAAAGUUUUAAGAUAUAAAUUUGUCAAUGAACUAAUUUCUUGAACUUCACUUAACUUUCUAUCAACAAUAACAAAAAGAAUUCUUUAACUUCAUAGUCAAUUAAGUUUCAAUUAGAAAAUGUAAUGAGGAUAAUCAUCAGAUUACCUGGAAAGGUAACUCCACCAGUUUAAGCAGAUUUGCGAACUGUUGCAGAACCUGAUGACUAGCAAUCCUUCUUUUCAGUGAAGCGCACCCAAGAAGAUGCAGAACAACAGGAAAAAAUACAACUCUUAGAAGAAUUUUGACUUGUGACGCUACUUAUCUGCCCACGGCGUUUACCACCUUUCAGUUGCUGAAUGUCCCCAGAUAUACACUCAAGUAAACUUGGUACUGUUGAUGCGACAACCAUCCCAAGUGCAUCUAAACACUGCUUCACAACGACAUUCUUCUCAACCAAUCUAUCAACGGUCGAGAGCAAUUUAGCAAUUCAAUAACAUAGUGGUAGCCACCUCUUCCUAUUCAUAUAAAGUAGAUCCACAAAUAUGAGUGCCUUUCCAUUCAAAACUGCAAUUCCCCGCAAAAUUAGAGUCAACAGAUACAGAACAAGAUUCUUGUCUUCGACCAAGGCAAGAAGGUACCUUCCAACACUUGGAAGUGUAUGACUUUUCAAUUGUCAGCCAAGCAAGACCUUGUUGUCAGCCUCAUGAUCUGCUGCUUUCCAAGAGCCCGAAAUAUGUAGCAUAGGUUAGUAAUGACAUCUUGGCUGGUGAAACAAGCUGACCAAAACCAUCCUUGACUGGAGAUAUUUUCAAUUGUCCUCAGAGCAUAAACUUGAGUAAUGUCAUCCUCUUCGUUUCGUAGAAGUGAUGAAACCAAUGAAAUUAUUGGGCUUGUAACCUACAACAUUAAUAUUUUCAUAAAGGAAUGUUAAGAUAGGAUGUGAGGCUUGGCAAUAUGUAAAGAUAGUACAUAUUGUAUGAUUUUAUCUUAGUUUUUCCACAACCCCAAGAGAAAUAUCUUAACACACUUGUUUAUUUUACUGCUAUAUAGUGUUGCAUUACAAUGGAAUUUCAAUCUUAUAAGUUCAUCCAGUUCACUAAUUAAAAGAUAAAUGGUUUUUAACCCAUUAAUAAGUAUACCAUUUAUAUCCUAGUGACAAGUUGCAUUAUUUCUCAUAAGAGAUGCAUUGGUGCUAGAACUGCGUUUCUGACAGUGCCUAUGCUUUUAAGUGAUUGAUCUUAGAACACUUAAUACUUACAACCUAAUUGCAAUAUAGCUUAGUAAUUUAUUGUGUAGAGGAUUUUUAACAAAUAUAACACUCCAUCCAUUUCAAUUUGUUUGUCCUACUUUCCUUUUUUGUCUGUUUCAAAAACAAUGCGUCUUCUUUUUUUUGGCUACUCUUAGAUUUAAGAACAUUUGGUACAUUCUACAUAUGUUUAGUUUAGAUUCACAAUAUUCAAAAGACUUCUUUACUUUCUUAAACUCCAUGCCAAGUCAAAACAAGACAAAAAUUAAUAUGGAGGGAGUAACAAACUUGACAAGCUGCACCAAUAAGAAGUUACAACAACAAAGAUACCUGCCAACAGGAUGAGGGUCAGUUGUCCUUUGAUGGAGAUUCCAUUGGUUUAUUAUCCCGGGCAUGCUCAUUUUGAGUAGAUAUAUAAAAUAAUAAUUAGCCCAAAGAAGCCAUGGAAAACUUUUGCACUUUCUCUUGCCUGUCUCGCAGACCAUUAGUUAGUGCACCUAAUAUUCCAGAAUUUGCCAGCUCAUCCCCAAAAAAAGUAGAGUGAAGAAUCAACAAGCCAAUAAGUUAAGCAAGUUGAGCAUGCAACAGAAAAACCUUGGAGUGACGAAGGAUUUUGACUAGAACCUACACAAUAGAGUCAUUGGUCAAGAUGUUGGCUGCAUCAGCAUUGCUGCUCAAAAAGCUCAAGGUAUCUGAUCACAUUUUGCUUCUCCCAUGAGGGAAUAUUCCCAUUAAUAAUGAUGAUUCUACUAUUCUUUUGCUCCUUUGAAAUUUUGAUAAAAUUAGAUAGUUGAGGUGGUGCGUAAAAUGAAAGUGAAGGAAUUGCAUCUGAACCUUUAUCUAAUUUUCUGCGAGGCAUUACAGGUGAGACUGAGAAAUUAGAUGGAUGCCAAAUAAUAUCUGAAAGGUUCAUAGAUGGUUUUGAGAUAUCAGAGAAAUCAUUUUUUAUAAGAACUACAAGACGAAAAGGAAGGAUGAUUGAACUUUAACGUCAUAUAACUGGUAGGAAGGUGCUUUUUAUAUAUCACUCAAUUUUCUUGCUAAUCCAAAAUAACACAGCUGCCAGGAAACAAAUAGAACUUUAAUGUCAUAUAACUGGUAAAAAGCACUCAUCGUGAUGUGGAAAAGUCACAACAUGAAGAUCACCAUACUUUCGUGAUUCCAUUUUCAUCCAACAGGAUGUUUGAUAGCUUUAAGUCACAGUAAAUUAUUCCCUUUGAAUGCAAGUAUCUGGCAUAGUAGACAAAACACCAAAAAAUAAUUCAUGCCGAAAACAACAAGUGUUACAAAAGAACAAUGAAGGCUAAAGUUACUAACUUACAAAAGAGCUCUAACAAGGCCACAAGCAAGUUUGUGUGUUGAAUAUUCAGGAAGCUUACGAUCUUCAACCAGAGAUUAAAAGAUAUUAAAAUCUCCCAGGUGUGGUUUAAACUAAAAUACAGGUAAGAUGAUGCAGAUGCAAGUUGUUACAUUACCAACUACAGUAAACAGGGUCAUUUUGACUACUCUUUAAAUACAAAUAAAAAAAGCAAAAGAGCUCUAACAAGGCCACAAGCAAGUUUGUGUGUUGAAUAUUCAGGAAGCUUACGAUCUUCAACCAGAGAUUAAAAGAUAUUAAAAUCUCCCAGGUGUGGUUUAAACUAAAAUACAGGUAAGAUGAUGCAGAUGCAAGUUGUUACAUUACCAACUACAGUAAACAGGGUCAUUUUGACUACUCUUUAAAUACAAAUAAAAAAAGAAACCUAUUUCUUUCACAUCAUUUUGUUGGGACAAAAACAAGUUACCUUUAUUUGUGAGACUACAAACAACUCUAUUAAAGUUAUCAAUCGCACAUGACACUGAUGUCCUUAGUGCCUGUUUGGGAAAUCCCAAUGUAGGCAUGCAACAAAUUUACCAUGAAACAUCAAUAUCCCAUGCCUCUACAAAAAAAUUGACCAAGAAGAAUUAGGGUGUUGUCACAAAUUUUGGAUGUUCGUGUCUAAUGUCAGCAUAAGGAAUCCUAUAUGCCAACACAGUAGUUAUACCACUGGAACAGUGAAAUGUAUUUAUAAAAUAGCAGACCUGCCAGUGCUUACCUGCUGCAACAAGCUCAUGAGAUUUCUUCCAACAAAAUAUUCUAAAUCCAGCCACAGGUGUGCAGAUGUUUCAUACCUAUGGAUAGGUUGAAUUAGAAAAUAUGUCAGAGAAAUCUUCUUAUUACACACCAAAAGGACCUUUACCACAGAAGCAGAAUUGAAGAAAAAGAGAGGGGUUACGUACAAGAUAGGAAAAAAAUAAAUCUCACCAGGAGUAGAACUUUAAUACAGUUUCAUGAUCUAUAGAAUGAAGAAUUCUGACCUGUAGCAAAUGUAGCCAUAGAAGAAUAAGUACAUGAAUAGAGGAAACUGAAGGAAAUAGAUUUUAAGAAAAGAGGUUGGGGUUUUUGAUCAUUUGUUCACGAGAAUUCAAUUUUAUACCACGGAAUAGAAAGACUGUGGUAUGACUCAUAUAAUUUCCAAUGAUCUAAUAACUACAAUAGUCACAAGCAUCAACAAUCCUUAACAUCUAGAUAUAUGAUGAGGCAAGUUGUUUUCUAAGACCACGCUUACUAAAAGCAUAUGCAUUCUGAAGUAGUUCAGCUGCUUUUGAAGAUUUGGAAUAACUACAGAUAAUGUCAAAACUAUUGAGUAAGCUGAUCCAGUAGCGCUGUAGAUUAGCAAGCACCAAUAAAAUUUUACCGUAAAUCAAUGAAUAUAACUUACAGAACAAUGUGUUGUAAGCUGACAGAUUCUAAAGUCCAUACUGAGGAGGGUUCACGGAUAAUUACCCUGUAACAUAACAUUUUUCCUUUAUAUCUAUUCCUCUAAAAAAGUAGACUACAAUUAAAAAUCAAAAGUAUUAUGAAGUUCUCAAAUUUCUAAGAGAGCUAUUGGGUAGCUAAUAAAUUUUGCAGCUUGGUUCCCAAUUCAAUCGUAAAUUAUCUUCUUCCCAAUAGGGUGGCCUAGCAAUCAAAUAGAUCAAGUAACAGAUUAGGAACUAAGGUUCAGAUUUCACAAUAGACGAUACUUGGUGAUAUCUUCUCAUCUACCUAAACCUUGAUGUGCAUAGUUAAACAGAUAGUAAUAUGUACUACAACAUACGGUGGCCCAGAUACUAAUGUUAUCAAGAGGAUAAAUUAGGCACUGCCACAGUUUUAUCAUCAGAGGUGCAAGAAAAUACAGCUAAGGGUCCAUCGAAAACAAUCUAAUCACUCUACCUCCAAAGGUAAGGAUAAGGUCGGUUUACAGUCUAUCCUACUCAAACUCCACUUUAUGACAUUAUGUUGUGUACGUUGUUGUUGUUGUAGGUGAAAUCAAAUUCAAACGUGAAGCUCUAGUUCCCUCCGCCAUAUGUUUUUUCAAAAUGAGAACCUUGUCAACAAAACAUAAAAUAGUAAUAACAGAAUGAUAGGCAAUAAUCUUGGAGAAAACUACCUUUAGUACUUUCAGAUUCAUUGAUUUUAUCUUCUUCUUUUCCAGUCAGGGUGAUGCUCUCCAAGCUCUCCAUUUUCUAUUAAUGGCUUUGAGCAUUUUUGGCAGCAAGUUCUUGUUCCUUCCUCUAAAUGUUGAAUUUAUUCAACUUUUCUUUAAACUCUCAUUGCAUUUUCAGCUCUUGACCUCUUUUUGCCUCAAGUUCACUUUAUUUCUUCAAAUAUCCUAAAUCAACUCUCCAUUUCAUUUUCAUGCCAACAUGAAAAAAAAACACAUUAAAAGCACCAAUUUUAAACUAAAGCAAGCCAAAAUAACUAUGAAAAGAGCCUUAAAUGAGUGGAAAUUCCCCACUCAUCAUCACUCCCAACUUAGAAACUUUGUUUGUCUUUGGGUAAAGAAAAUCAAAAACACAAAAGGAUCUUAUUUCAAGACACACCACAAAUCAAUUUCCCUUUCUCAAUUAAGCACACAGGUAAUGGCUUCGGUUGGUACUAACAAAUAUUCCACAUGCAAACUUUUCACAAAUGAAAUCAUCUCAUUCUCAUGAAACAUUUUCAAAAACCAAGAAUCAUUUAAGUGACAACAACUCAAAUUCAAGAAAUGACUCAACUCAUUAACUCUUUCAUAUGCUCACUUGACUCAAUUAGGAAUUUUCAAAAUCACCACUUUUUCAACUUACAUGCCCUCACAAGAAAGAAGUGUCCUUAUACCACACACACAUGUAAACAAGACAAGGAACAAAGAUGCAACAGUCACACUCACAAAGAAGCAUCUGAUGCACACAAAUGUCACACCAUAGGCUUCCCCAUAUUUUCAAUCAACACUGACUCAACUCCAUUUGGUUCGAAAUCUCAAAGGACUUUGUCAAGAUUGUAAUGUAGACUUAAGGAAGGUAAGGAUAUUAUAUAGGUAUAAGUGACUACACCUUCCUUGAUCGCAACACAACAACUCCUCAUUUCGAACUUUCUCCACUUUUCAAACCCAUGCACAUUUCACAAUAUAUUUCAUUUUUCUUUACUUAUUUCCACUCUAAAUGCCCCACAUGCAACCAUUUCCAACUUUUGGAGGAUUCAAGACUCAUUUAUUCAUUUUCUUUCUUUCUUUUUUUCAAAGCUUAUUCUUUCUUUAAGACUUUCCAUCCAUCCUUCAAUUUCUC